rnacentral:lncRNA from 1 species
UUUUUUUGGCGGUCUCCAUUUUGGCUCGAGCGACCAGGCACGUACCCCCGCACUCGCUAUGUCCAGAAUUUUGGAGAUUGCAAACUUUUUUAACUCCUAGACAUUUUUUCAAAUGAUUGAACAUUUUUUGAAUUUAAACUUUUGUUCAUCAAAGUAUAUGAAAAAAUAGAAAUUCUAGAAUAUUUUUUGAAAUCACAAACAUUUUCUGAAAUUACGCACAUGUUUUUUGGAACUUGUGAACAAUUUUUUGCAUAGGCGGACAUUUUUUGAAAUUUGGAAACAACUUUUGGAAUUCAGAAACAUGUUUUGUUUUCAAUUAACAUUUAUUGAAUUCAUGAAUAUACUUUUUGAAUCAGCGAACAUUAUUUGCAAAAUUGGAAAAAAUUGAAAUUCCAAAAAAUUGUUUUGGAUAUUUUUAACAUUUCUUAAGAAUACAUGAACAUUUUUUGAAGAUAUGAACUUUUUUUGUAAAUCAUGAACAUUUUCUCAAUCGAUGAAAGUUCUUUUAAUUCAUGAACAUUUUUAAAAUCACGAUUUUUUUUAAAAGACAAGGAAGUGCAUAUAAUAGGUAAUGCAUCCCCACAACAAACAAGAUCACGCAGUUAGUCUGCUGGUUACGUCGCCAGCUAUGUGGGCAGAGGUUGCGAAGUCGAAGGCCCACACAUCCCCAACCACCCCCAAAUAUUUUUUAUGAGGAACCUGUCCUCCCCUCUUUGAAACAAGGGGCUCUUCUGGUUCUGUGCGUGCUUCAAACAAUUUUAUCUUCUUCAUAUUGAGAAUGUAUCAUGUGCACCCGACAAACUGGUGCACCAGGUGCUCUGGUGGAUCAUGAGCCUUUGGAUUUAAAAGAUAGGGACAUAAUGCGGCGCAAAAGGGAGCCCCUGGUGCUUUUACACAUUUACCCUUGAAGUGUAACUGAAUUCUGCAUCCACCCCAUCUCCAAUCGUCUCUCUUCAUCUGUUCUUCUUUCCUCUGCCACCGUACGCUAUGGGAGUAUGGUUAGAGAAAAUAUUGCUCGAUGUCAUCUCACUCCCUAUCCUUUCUCUCCUCCCUCUCCUUUACCUACGGUAGGAUCUCCUGCAUGAAGCUUAACUGCACUCUACGCUCGCCUGAAUCGACUUUGUGGAUUGACAGAUUGAUUUAGGCAGCGUUGGUCCAUGACGUCGAUUCUGUAGUGCUUUGGGAGUUAAGGUUGCUUCCGCGAUUCAUAUAUCAAGGGUAAGUUCUCUUCUUCCCUUACCCUUGAGUUCUAACUGUAUUUUGGUUCUUCCAAUAUGAUCAUAAUUUUUCCCCAUUCAUUUGAAACAAGUGGCAUUGGGAAUAAUAAUAUUAUAUGCAUUGAUUAGAUGUACGAUCUAAAACUAUAAGGAUAAAAUUUUAAUCUCAAUUGCAACAUUUGAAAGUGUGUUAUAUCGACUAGAGGGGGGUGAAUAGGUGAUUUUUAUGAAUUCUUCACUGAGGAAUUUGCUGGUGAGGAAAUUCCUAAAUGAAGAACUACUUGCAGCGGAAUAAGUACUCAGAAAGGAACAUAACAGAACACAAGCAUGGUCAUCAUGAUGAAAUAAAGAAAAGCACAGAGUACAGAAAGCGUAAACACAGGAUAACACAAGAAAGAAGACGAACAUACUGAAGAAAUAGAGCUGAGGAAAUUGAGAAAGUCUUCAGUCAAAGUCUUCAAACAGAUAUGAACAGGCACACACCAAAAUACAUGAGGAAUUUAAAGAGUUGAGGAAAUAGAACCAGUAAGCUCGGUGAAGACAAUGAUUUGGUAGACCAGUUCCAACUGCUGUCUCAGUUGUACAUCUGGUUGGAGCGGCUGAGUAUUUAAACUCGAGGACACCCAGUCCCGGACACACAGUCCUCACCGUAUUCUCCUUGAGCUAAGGUCACACAGACCUCGCCCAAUCACUCGUGGUAAGUCUUCAGGUGACUUCCGAACCUUCACAAACUCGGUCACUCGGCGAUCCACAAUUCCUCUUGGAUGCUCUAGACCUUGACGCCUAACCGUCUGGAAGAAGCACAGUCUUCAAAGGAAACAAGCGUCGGAUCCACGUAGGAUCAAUCUCUUCAGUGAUGCUCAAUCACUUGGGAUUUUGUAGGUUUGGGUUUGGGAUUUCCUCACUUGAUGAUUUUCACUCAAAGUCCUCGGAGGAUGGGUUGCUCUCAAAUGACAAGUGUCAGUUUCUCUCGGAGAAGCCAACCAACUAGUGGUUGUAGGGGGCGGCUAUUUAUAGCCUAGGGAGCAACCCAACAUGAUAAGACAUAAAUGCCCUUGUCUGAUAUGACCGUUAGGUGGGUAGAUAUUUUGGGACAGCCGGCGCGUAUCACAGCAACGGUCGGAAUAUUUUAGGUUCGAAUUCCUCAGGGCUAUCAUGUUUCUCACUUGGUAGGCAAUCCGCACUGGCGAAUUCCUAACUCUUCAGUCAGAACAAAUUGUUCAGAGACCAGAAGAACUUCGUCUCUGUCACUGAAGAAUAUGGUUGAACUGUGCGAGAUUUCCAAUGGCUUCACUCGAAGGGAUUGGUAGGUGUAGGAUUUGAGUUGAGCAUCACAUGGAAAUUUCUCCUUAGUAUUUCCUCGACCCCCUUUAACAGUACGGUGUUUCCUGUGACUCAAGAAAGAGAAAAUGAAACUAUGAAAACAAAAGUCUUCGCGCUUCAUGUUCCUCGAAUGAAUACCAAGUCUUCAAGGUCACACCAAUUUCUUCAAUUUCAAAGUCUUCAGAAAGUCUUCAGAAAUCCAAAGUCUUCAGUCGAAAAACUUCAUUUUUAGGGGUCGACAUUCUCUGUAAAUAUCAAACUCCUCAUAGACUUAUAGACCUAUGUACACACACAAACGCAUUAGUCUCUUAACCUAUAAGUCUUCAAUACACCAAAUCACUAAGGGGCACUAGAUGCACUUACAAUAUCCCCCUUUUUGGUGAUUGAUGACAAUAUAGGUUAAGUUUUCAACGGGGAUAAACAUGUGAGGUGUAAAUACUGAUAUUGAGGAAUUUGAUUGCAAGAUAUAGAAGAACUCCCCCUGAAGAUGUGCAUCGUGAGGAAUUUGCUUUUGAAGCAAUGCACAGUUGAAGAGUAUAAUCAUGGAGAUCUCCCCCUAUAUCUUGUAAUUCAUACACGCAUAUAAUAUGAGGAAUUUGAAAUGCAUGAUGAAAUAUGGUGACUGAUGUAAUUCAGCAUGUGUACAUUAACAUUAAUGAGGAAUAAGCAUGCAAAAGAACACAGCAAAAGUAUCAAGCCACCAUAGAGUUUAAGAUUACAACUCGAUCCAGCAAAGUCAUCAGAAGAACGAGAGUUGUAACUUAGCGAAAAACGCCCAUAUAAAUAGACCCGCUUGAAGACUAACUCAAAUUUCUCCCCCUUUGUCAUCGAAGACCAAAAGGGUUGAAACUGAGGACUAACGCCCCUGAAGAAUAUCAUGAUGAUGGAGGAGCGCCAGCGUUGUCAGGGUCUUGAGUCGUUGUAGGGCCUGCUGCAGUGUUGUCCAAGUCUUCAUUCUCGUCUGUGGCGCGUGAUGAAGAAUAUGAGCUAGCCACCAAGGAAGGAACCUUGACCUUCUUGAAUUUCUUCGGUGGAGGAGCAGACCAGUCAAAGUCUUCCUUGAAGCCCAUUUGCUUCAGAUCUUCUUCGUCAUAUAGAUGUGACAUAAUAGCCCAGGUGCGAUCAAACACUUCAUGGAGGUAGUAGUGGUUUUUCUUCACUGCAUUAUGUGUGGAAGUCAUGUUGUGAAGAAUAGAGCCAAACUGACGCUUAACCCAUUUGUGAUUCCGAUCGACCUUCUGGUGAAGACUUAUGAGCAGUUCACGGUCAGUCAUCACACGAGGAGCAGUAGCUUGAGGACUUGACUUUGGAGCAUUGGCAGUAGAAUCAUGUGUGGCAGAGUCAUCAUUGGUGGAAUAGGAUGCAGCUUUGCGAAAUUGACCAUCCAAUGGACGAGUGCCUUCAUCGAUCACAGCUGGUGACUUGCCCUUCUCAUCAAAUGAGGAAAUGGUCCACUUGAGGACUUCAAUUGGGGGCACGUAGCUGCCAUGGUUAAAAUUGUCAGCCUUAUAGUUGAGUGAAGUCCUUGAUCUGAGGAAUCUCAUGAUCCAUGGUGCAUAAGGCUUCAACUCAAAUGGUGAUAGUGCAACAUUUGCAAGAGUCCUCAUGAAGAAAUCAUGGUAAUUGAUAGGAAUACCAUGCAUGAUGUUGAAGAGCAUAUUCUUCAUCAUCCCCACAAUUUCUUCAUCUGAAGAAUCAUGUCCUUUGAUUGGGCUGAUAGUCUUCGUCAGGAUGCGGUAUAUGGUUCUUGGCACAUAGAGCAAAUCCUUCACGAGGAAUUUGGUCCUAUGAAUUUGUCCUGGCUUCAGCGGCUUCAUGAGCACUUGCAUAUAAUGAUCAGGAAGUCUAGGUUCAUCAUACAGACAAUGAGCGCCAUCUGGUGGAGGACUGAUUGGCAAGGCACGAAGCAAUUCAGUGGCUGGUGCCUUGUAGUGAGUGUUUUCAGUCAUCCAGUCCAACACCCAAGAGUUGACGUCAGCUGCGUUGCAUGUGAUGUGCAAAGUUGCAUAGAACUGAAGAAUUAGCUCUUCAUUCCAAUCAACGAUGUCAGUGCAGAAAUUCAGCAAGCCUGCAUCGUGAAGCAGACUGAGAACCGGUGUGAAGCAUGGCAUAGAUUCCAUGUCCAUGUAAGGAAUGUGCUCAUGAUCGAAGAUUUUUUCCUUGUCAAAAAGAACUGAGGAAUAGAAGUUGGCUUGGCUGGCAGUCCAGAAACACUUCCUUCUAAGACGAGCAUUGUCAUAGGGGUUGAAUUCAGUGAAGAAUACGUGCUCGCCGAAGAAAUCAUCAGGCUUGAAUUUUGGCUUCCUGGAGAAGGGAUUCUUUGGUUUUGGCUGAGGAGUGUCAGUGAUUUGCAGUAUUACCUCAGGAAUCGCAAUCUCAGGUUCCUCAUGCUGAGGAAUUUCAGUUUCUUCUGCAUCUGCAGCCUGAGUCAUCACUUCUUCGUUCACUGUUUCUUCAGCACUAGUGGCUGGAAUGUCUUCAUGAACAGACGGGGUUGCACGUGGUUCAUCAGAUCCCACUUGUACUUCAGUAGUGGCUGGGGACUGAGGAACAGCUUGGAGAGGAGUGAACAUUGGUGAGUUUGGAUGUUGACUGUCCCAAAAUUCAUCAUUGAGCACAGGAGUGGUACAUCCAAUGUACACAUCCUCAUCGUCAAUUUCUUCAACACCUGCCUCUUCAGCAGUGAACUAAGGCAUAGGUGAGGAAAUGACAGGGGUUGAAGGGAUCGCAUCCACUUCAAUUUCUUCGUCCAACUGCUGUGUCGAAGCAGCAGAUAGAGUUUCUUCAUCAGAUUCCUCGGGAAUCUCAUAUUCUUCACCAUAAGGAACAAGGUCCUUUGAUGGCAUUGAUGAGACGGGAAUGGCAUCAAUUGGAUUGUCAAUUGAACUGGUCAGAGUCUUCAUCUUCUUCGAAGCCGAAGAAUUUGAUGAAGCUGAUGCCUUCCUUUUCUUCAUCACUGCAUGUUCUGCAUCCUUGGUCUUCUUCACAUCAAGAGCAGAUGGAAGGAUAGGAGUUGGUGUAGGCGCAGGAGGUGCAUUUUCUUCAGGAGCAACUGUUGCAGUUGCCCUGACUUGUUCAUUUUCCUCAGGCGCAUCACUAGCGGAUGCCCUGGCAAUAUCAUCAGCGGCUGGAAUGGAGUCAUCGGCCCUGGUAUUCUCACUUUCUUCAGCAGCCAUACUGACAUUAGCAGUGCUGGCAUGUUCUUCAGUAGGCUGAGUAGAUUCUUCAGCCUGAGGAAUUUCAACAUGCACUGGUGCAGAGGCAGUUGAAGAGAAAGUCUUCAUCAAGUUGACAAAACAAACCGUUGCUCCCUUCCAAUCAGCAUGAUACCAAUUGAAAUCAUCACUCAGUUGCUUGAUUUCAGCUUGUACAACAAUGAGUUGUUCGGGGGUAAGAGUGAGGACAUUGUCCUUGAGGAAGCGCUGUUUCUUGUAUUGCGCUUUCUUCAGCCUUCGUCCUUCUUCAUAUUUCCAUUUCUCUUCCUCAAUGAAGUGAGUGAGAACAUGGCUUUGACCAGGAGUGAGGUUCAACUCUGGCAGAGGCGUGUUAGGGUCCUUGUGCCAUAAGUCAAUGAAGUCGAGGAUCAACUUUGGAUCCAAUAGUAGUGGCACAUUGCUUCCUUUGGCUCUAGCGGCCCUGGCUUGCCUGUCUCUGAUGAUUUUAGCAAGUUCAUCAUCAUCCACCUCAUCAUCAUCAGAGCGCACUUGGAAAGCGACUUGCUUCUUGUGAGGACUUGGUCGAGUACCUCGUCCAGCAGUGGCCUUUUGCUUCAGCAGUGAGGGACCAGCUGAGGAAGGUCGAGGAGCUGAGGAGCUUGCAGAUGCUCUUGAGUCAAUAGAGAAGCCUUGAGUCCUUUGGCACGUGGCAAGAUGCACAGGUGCCGAAGAUUUUGUCGGAGCAGUUGAAGACUUUGUUUGAGGAGGAGGAGGAGCAGACUGAGGAAUUUGCCGUGAGGGCUUUGAAGAUGCUGGCCGUGAGGGCAUUUCUGAGGAGCUUGGCGGUGAGGGCAUUGAUGGAGAAGCAUUGGAUUUGUGGGCAGGCUUCUUUGGCAUAGCCUUCUUGGGCUUACUACCAGAUGCCUCAGCAGCGUUAGCAGCAGCAGCAGAAUCUUCAUUGAAUUUCCUCACUGCUUCUUUUUCUUGCUUGGCUAGUUUGGCCUGGCGCCUAGACCAUUCAGUAGCAUAGUCCUCACCGCGCUUGAGGCUGGUGGGAUCUACCAGUUGGCCAGGCCUCAAUGGAGGUCUUGAGCAUGGAGGGAUGAGCGCGAAUUUCUUCAUGUACUUGGGAGUAACAUAUCUGUACUCCCUCCAUUCUCGUGCCCAUCUCCUCUCAAUUCGUUGUAUGCGCACUUUGCGCUGAUUCUUGUCCUCCUUGCCAAACUUGGCCUCAUCUGGAGUGCAAUAUCCAACAUAUAUAUCCUCAGGGAUUUCAAACGUUGUGUUGACCUUGGGCCUUUUUCCUCCCUUCUGUGGCUUCUUGCUGUCAGCCAUUUUCUUCAGCUGAGGAUUAACAACAGAAGUUUCUGAAGAUGUAUGCAACUUUUCUUCAAGGAACGUUGCAAAUGAGUUAAGUUGAUGAGAACCUAGUGAUUCAGCAGCGGGCAUUUGUACCUGUGAACAGAGUAUAGUUGCGAGGAAUUUGGAGAGGUCAUAUGCGUUCUCAGAAGAUUUUCAAAAAGAGAAUAGGUUUGAGGAAUUUGACUGAUGAGUCUUGAAGAAUUUCGCUAAGCGUUUUUUAUCUUAGGUUCCAGAGUUGUACAGAUUUGAAAAUCCACACAAUUGAGGAAUCUUGAAGAAAAUCAUUGCUUAGAGAAACGGAUCAAGAACAGAUAACAUGUGAGGUGUUUAGUGUGUGAAGAUUGAAUAAUAAACACCUUUGAAGAUUUUUAGGAAAACACAUGAAUCAAAGCGGGCAAUAAAAGUAACUUUUAAUUACCCGAAGUGAAGAACACGACGAACUGAGAAGUGUUGAGGUGAAGUUCGUCCGUUCAGAUCUUCCACGCCCUAACUCGGCAGAGGAAGACGGCUACGGCGGCGGCGGAGUGAAGAAAUCCGCAACCGCCGCGAGUACGACGGCGACGAGGUUGAGGCAGUGAAGCUCUUCCUCACCGGCGACGAUGAAGUAGCGGCGGCGCUAGGGUUUGGGAAGCUCGAGCGGGAGAGAGAGGUCGAGCGGAGUAAAAGUGAAGUGAAGAGAAGACAUGGGUAUUUAUAGCGGCAGUGAAAAACUGUGCGCCCGAGGAUUUCAAACGAACGUGCCCCUGGCUUUUCCCAUUCACAUGACAUGUGUCACCCACGUACCGUGAGGUGGCGAUCGUGUAGGAUCAUGGGUGAAUAGAUAAGUAUUUGUCGUGAGAAGCGGAACGGUUUGAGCGGCCAAGCCGAAAAUUUAGAUAAGAUAAGUUUUAAGUUACCGUUCGCAAUUUCUUCAGCUGUCAAGGACACAGUGAAGAUUUUGAACGAGUUUCAAAUCAGACCGCACAUGAAGAAUUUGUGAAUAGACUGGGUUGAGUUUAGCAUAGAGGGGGAAGGGUCCGAUCACAUUCACUUAGCAAAAAAGUCAGCUUGAAAAAAUAGCAAUANNNNNNNNNNNNNNNNNNNNNNNNNNNNNNNNNNNNNNNNNNNNNNNNNNNNNNNNNNNNNNNNNNNNNNNNNNNNNNNNNNNNNNNNNNNNNNNNNNNNNNNNNNNNNNNNNNNNNNNNNNNNNNNNNNNNNNNNNNNNNNNNNNNNNNNNNNNNNNNNNNNNNNNNNNNNNNNNNNNNNNNNNNNNNNNNNNNNNNNNNNNNNNNNNNNNNNNNNNNNNNNNNNNNNNNNNNNNNNNNNNNNNNNNNNNNNNNNNNNNNNNNNNNNNNNNNNNNNNNNNNNNNNNNNNNNNNNNNNNNNNNNNNNNCAAACGACGGAAAUAGUGAAGACAUUGCAAGUUGAUGAAUUUGAAAAACUGAGGAAUUUCAAGAAAUGAGGAAAAACUCAAAUUUGAAGAUUUUUAACUUUUGUGGUGGCGUAACCCACCGUAUAAGAAAGUUGGCUUCAGACACCGCGUACAAUUGUCGUAGGGCUCUGAGAGUCAAUUUCUUCAUUAAUUUCUUCACACUUAGAGGGUUAGUCUUCAUUGAUUGAAGAAAAACGUUACUUCGUGUGUUGCGCAUCUAAGUCAUCAAGUCAGCAUAGGUGUUAGGAUGAGUGUCCUAUUUCAGAGAAUAUUCGAAGAUUCUAGGAUAUUUAGCUCACACCGCAACUUGCUAAAUCUCUUCUCAUCCAAGGGCUUAGUGAAAAUAUUGACCAGCUGAUCUUCAGUUCUUGCAUGGCAGAUGGAGAUAUCGCCCUUCAACACAUGAUCGCGAAGAAAAUGAUGAUGAAUCUAGAUGUGCUUUGUCUUUAAGUGUUGAACUGGGUUGCGAGAAAUCUUGAUUGCGCUUUCAUUGUCGCAGUAGAGAGGCACAUUCUUCACGUCGAUGCCAUAGUCCUUGAGAGUUUGCUUCAUCCAUAAUAAUUGAGCAUAGCAUGAUCCAGCAGCAAUGUACUCAGCUUCUGCAGUGGAGAGAGAUACACAGUUCUGUUUCUUCAAGGACCAACAGACCAAAGAUCGUAUGAGGAAAUGGCAUGUGCCUGAUGUUGACUUGCGGUCCAUGCGAUCGCCAGCAUAGUCAGAGUCUGAAUAUCCAACGAGAUCAAAUAAGGAGCCCUUGGGAUACCAUAAUCCAAGUGUUGGUGUGUGAGCUAGAUAUCGAAGAAUAUGCUUCACAACCUUAUGGUGUGAUUCCUUCGGUGUAGCUUGAAAUCGGGCACACAUGCAAACACUGAGCAUAAUAUCUGGCCUAGAUGCACAUAGGUACAAUAAAGAGCUAAUCAUGGAGCAGUAUACCUUUUGAUCGAAGUCUUGACCAUUUUCAUCAAUGCAUAGAUGGCCAUUUGUGGGCAUUGGAAUUUUGACCCCUUUGCAAUCUUGCAUGCCGAAUUUCCUCAAUACUUCUUUGAGGUUCUCCACGAUAUGAAUAUACCAUUGCGCUGUUGACGAAUUUGAAGACCUAAAAAGAAUUUCAACUCUCCCAUCAUAGACAUUUGAUAUUCUUCACUCAUCAUAUAGGCAAAUUCAUCACUAUAACGUUGGUUAGUACAGCCAAAGAUAAUAUCAUCAACAUAUAUUUGGCACACAAACAGUUCACCAUCAUAAGAUUUAGUGAAAAGAGUUGGGUCGAGUGAACCGGGUUUGAAGCCAUUCUUCAUGAAGAAUUCCUUCAAAGUGUCAUACCACGCCCGAGGGGCUUGCUUGAGGCCAUACAUGGCCUUGUUGAGUCUGAAGACUUUGUCGGGAUUCUUUGGAUCUUCAAAACCUAGGGGCUGAGCAACAUAUACUUCUUCCUCAAUCUUACCAUUGAGGAAUGCACUUUUCACAUCCAUUUGUUGUAAGAUAAUAUCAUGAUGGUUAGCAUAAGCAAGUAAUAUGUGAAUAGCCUCAAGUCUAGAAACAGGUGCAAAAGUUUCAUCGAAAUCAAUUCCUUCAACCUGUGUGUAGCCUUGAGCUACAAGCCGUGCCUUAUUCCUCACCACAAGGCCAUUUUCAUCUUGCUUGUUGCGGUAGAUCCACUUUGUGCCAAUGAUGUUGUGCUUGCGAGGAUCCGGACGUUUGACCAGUUCCCAGACAUUGUUGAGCUCGAACUGAUGUAAUUCUUCUUGCAUAGCCUGAAUCCACUCAGGCUCCAGAAAUGCUUCAUCUACCUUAGUGGGCUCUACGAUAGAGACAAAAGCAAAGUGCCCACAAAAGUUAGAUAAAUGUGAAGAUUUUGAGCCAGUGAGAGGACCUGGUGCUUCAAUGUCAUCAAUGAUCUUCUCAAUUUGCACUUCAUUAGCGAUGCGAGGAUGAGUGGGUUGUCUUCGAGGAAUUUGAUCAGCAUUCCCUUCAGGUGCAUUUUCUUCAGCACCAUUUUCUUCAGGUGCGCCAGCUCGGUAAUCAUUACGAUCAGGAAUGAAUUCUUCAGUAUUUUCUUUGGUAGGAAUAACAUCCUCAGUAGCCUUGAACUUGAUAGAAUCUUCAGGUGUUGGUUCAUCUAUCACAGAAGGUAGGUGCUCUCUUUGCGAGCCAAUAGUUUCAUCGAACCGCACAUCUACAGAUUCAACAACUUUGUAAAGAACAUUGUUGAAGACUCUAUAGGUGUGCGAGUCCUUUCCAUAACCAAGCAUAAAACCUUCAUGUGCUUUCGGUGAGAAUUUAGAUGAGUGAUGAGGAUCUCUAAUCCAACAUUUUGCAUCGAAGACUUUGAAAUAACUCACAUUUGGCUUUUUGUUAGUGAGGAGUUCAUAAGUAGUUUUCUUGAAGAAUUUGUGAAGAUAUACCCUGUUGAUGACGUGGCACGCAGUAUCAAUUGCCUCAAUCCAGAAGCGACGAGGCGUCUUGUAUUCAUCAAGCAUAGUGCGAGCCAUUUCAGCGAGGGUUUUGUUCUUGCGCUCCACGACGCCAUUCUGCUGAGGAGUAUAAGGAGCAGAUAACUCAUGAGUAAUACCAAGUUCAUCAAGAUAGCCAUCAAGACCGGAAUUCUUGAACUCGGUCCCAUUGUCAGUUUUAUGUGCUUGAUCUUCACACCAAAGUUGGUUGAAGCCCUCGAGGAAAAUCGUUUGAAUAUUUCCUGCACUUCAUGUUUGUAAGUGACAAUGUGUACCCAUGUGUAACGAGAAUAGUCAUCAACAAUAACAAAGCGAUAUAGAGAUGCAUCAUUUGAAACAGCAGAAUAAUGAUUAGGACCAAAAAGAUCCAUGUGAAGCAAUUCAAAUGGUCGAGUGGUGGUCAUGAUAGUCUUAGCUGGAUGCUUGUCCUUUGUCAUCUUUCCAGCUUCACAAGCUCCGCAUAAGUUAUCCUUGAGGAAUUUGACAUUCUCAAUGCCAAUGACAUGCUUCUUCUUCGCAAGCGUGUUCAGAUUCCUCAUGCUAGCAUGACCAAGUCGUCGAUGCCAUAGCCAGCCUUCUAAAGCUUUUGCAAGUAAGCACACAGCUGGUUGUGGUCCUGUAGAGAAAUCAACGAUAUACAUAUCUCCUCUCCUAAAGACUUUGAAGACUUUGGAAUGGUCAGCUUCCAUGAUCACAACACAACGAUAUCUUCCAAAGACAACAACCAUAUCGAGAUCACAAAGCAUUGAGAAAGACACGAGGUUGUAUCCUAAGGACUCGACAAGCAUGACUUUGUCCAUGUGUCGAUCCUUUGAGAUCGCAACCUUACCUAGACCCAAUACCUGACUUUUGCAUUUGUCAGCGAAGAUGAUAUGCUUCAGAUGUGAUGUGAUAAAGGAGCAUCCAUCAAUAGAUUCUUGUCACCUGUCAUGUGAUUUGUAAAUCCACUAUCGAGGACCCACUCAUUUGCUUUGGGCUGAUCAUCCUGUAGAUGAAUUAGUGCAGCUUACGAACUCAUAUACUUCAUCAUUGAAGAAUAUGACAUCAAUAUCAUCAGUUCUAUUUCAUCAAGCAAUAGCACAGAUAAAACAUUAUGAGGACGUGAGAAAUGAAAAUUCAUUUCUUCAUGAUUAGCCUGCGUCCUUUCAGGCACUGUUCAGGUCUCCAGCAAAUUCUUCAGACGUUUUGAGCAUGUCUGGAGACCUGACCCUGCAUUAGAGACUAGUUCUUUUUCUUCACCACCCACAUCUGAAGGGAUGGCAAAGAGUUCAUCACUCUGCGAGCACCAUAUGAGAAAGGUGGCAUAGAAGCUAGUCCACUUCAUUUCACAUAAGAGAGGUUAGGCUAAGCAUAUGAAUAAGCAUAGAAAUUCUUCGAGGACUUAUGAACAUAAUGAUUUGAAGAAUAAUGUGCAUAUUCAUAGCCCUUAGCUCUACCCUACGAAACAGAAGGGUUAGUAUGACGACGAUCAUAUGAGAACUUUGAUCUACUUGAGGAAUUUGAUCCAUGUGAAGAAUUAGGUCCAUACGAAGAAUUGGAUUUGGGGUUCCUGUUCUUCAUAGGUGGUGUCAUGAGGACAUUCACCUGAAGACUUUCAAGAUAACUUUUGGGAACCCAGAUUUUCUUCAUAGGGGAACCAUUCCUGCAGUUAGUGCCAAUAUAUCUAGCAAAUACUUCGCCAUUCUGAUUUUUUAACAGUUUAUAGUUAGAGUCAAAUGACUCAUCAAAAGAAUGAGGAGAUUCACAUGUAAAGCUAGAUAAGUUGGUUGGAUCAACUGGAGGUCCCUUUGCAGCAACCCAUGAGGUUUUGGGGUACUGCUCAGGCUUCCAAUAUGUUCCAUCAGCAUUGAGUUUCCUCUCAAAGGCAAUACCCUCUUUCCUAGGGUUUCUGUUGAGGAUCUGCUUUUUGAGCACAUCACAAAGAAUCUGAUGUCCUUUGAGGCUUUCGUACAUGUCUGUCGUGUACAAUUCCUUCAGCCCUGCAUCAUUAGUAGUACUAGCAAUGUCCUCAGAUGAGGAAUUAGUGAUAGCAGAGACAGGUGAAGAAUUUGUAACAUUUGAAGCAUUUGAACAUUCAGGUGAAGAAUUAGCAGAUUCACGUUCAAUGCACUUUAGACAUGGAGAAACAAAUUCUUCCUGAGUAGUGUUGAUUUGUUGAGCAAGUAAUGAAUCGCGCUCCUUCUGAAGAUCUUCAUAACUCACUCUUAGCUUCUCAAGAUCUUGCUUUCUUUGAAGAGGUUCAAGAGAAAGCUUCUCGUGAUCAGAUAAGAGAGCAUUAUGAUGACCUUGGAGAUCGUCAAACUUGGAAUGGAGUCCCUGAAGACUUUCAGCCAAGGCUUUUGACUGAUCCAUUUCUUCACCCAACAUAUCAUUGCUCUUAUUUAGCAUGUAUUGAACUUUUUCCAAAGCUCUUUGUUGUUUAGUGGCAAGGGAAGCAAGUUUAACAUAGUUAGGUCCAAAUUCAUCGCCAGAUUCAUCAUCACUAGACUUGGAUAGGUAGCAUUCGGUUACCUUAGCAUUGUUUGCCAUAAGGCAGGGGGUGGACGAUGAUGAUUCUAGUUCGAAUGUCAUCUCUUUGAGAGAUUCCUUGUAAUCCUCAAACCAAGGAUCAUGACGAGUUCGAUGUCCAUCAUAGACCUUAGAGAGACGGUCCCAGAUUAGCUUCGCGUGAUUGAGAUGCAUGACGUUCCUGAACUGAUUUCGGGACAGACUUGAGCAGAUGACAUCCUUCGCUGUGAGGUUGAGUAGAGUGUACUUGCGAAUGUCAUCAGCCUCAGCCAUCUUGCAUAGAUUGGUAAUACCGAUCUUGGUGACGGUCCACAGUUUGCUGUCCAUAGCCAUGAGUCGCUUCUUCAUCAUGGCCUUCCACCAAGGAUACUCAUGACCGUCAAAGAUGGGGCAGGAAACAUUCCUCGAUCCUACAGUCGACAUAACUAGAACUCCAGGUGGUUAAACCAAAAUCACACAGAACAAGGGAGUACCUUGCUCUGAUACCAACUGAAAGUGCGUUAUAUCGACUAGAGAGGGGUGAAUAGGCGAUUUUUAUGAAUUCUUCACCGAGGAAUUUGCUGGUGAGGAAAUUCCUAAAUGAAGAACUACUUGCAGCGGAAUAAGUACUCAGAAAGGAACAUAACAGAACACAAGCAUGGUCAUCAUGAUGAAAUGAAGAAAAACACAAAGUACAAAAAGCGUAAACACAGGAUAACAUAAGGAAGAAGAAGAACAGGUUGAAGAAAUAGAGCUGAGGAAAUUGAGAAAGUCUUCAGUCAAAGUCUUCAAACAGAUAUGAACAGGCACACAACAACAUACAUGAGGAAUUUAAAGAGUUGAGGAAAUAGAACCAGACUCGUUGAAGACAAUGAUUUGGUAGACCAGUUCCAACUGCUGUCUCAGUGGUACAUCUAGUUGGAGCGGCUGAGUAUUUAAACUUGAGGACACCCAGUCCCGGACACACAGUCCUCACCGUAUUGUCCUUGAGCUAAGGUCACACAGACCUCACCCAAUCACUCAUGGUAAGUCUUCAGGUGACUUCCGAACCUUCACAAACUCGGUCACUCGGCGAUCCACAAUUCCUCUUGGAUGCUCUAGACCUUGACGCCUAACCGUCUGGAAGAAGCACAGUCUUCAAAGGAAACAAGCGUCGGAUCCACGUAGGAUCAAUCUCUUCAGUGAUGCUCAAUCACUUGGGGUUUUGUAGGUUUGGGUUUGGGAUUUCCUCACUUGAUGAUUUUCACUCAAAGUCCUCGAAGGAUGGGUUGCUCUCAAAUGACAAGUGUCAGUUUCUCUCGGAGAAGCCAACCAACUAGUGGUGGUAGGGGGCGGCUAUUUAUAGCCUAGGGAGCAGCCCGACAUGAUAAGACAUAAAUGCCCUUGUCUGAUAUGACCGUUAGGUGGGUAGAUAUUUUGGGACAGCUGGCGCGUAGCACAGCAACGGUCGGAAUAUUUUAGGUUCAAAUUCCUCAGGGCUAUCAUGUUUCUCACUUGGUAGGCAAUCCGCACUGGCGAAUUCCGAACUCUUUAGUCAGAACAAAUUGCUCAGAGACCAGAAGAACUUCGUCUCUGUCACUGAAGAAUAUGGUUGAACUGUGCGAGAUUUCCAAUGGCUUCACUCGAAGGGAUUGGUAGGUGUAGGAUUUGAGUUGAGCAUCACAUGGAAAUAUCUCCUUAGUAUUUCCUCGACCCCCUUUAACAGUACGGUGUUUCCUAUGACUCAAGAAAGAGAAAAUGAAACUAUGAAAACAAAAGUCUUCGCGCUUCAUGUUCCUCGAAUGAAUACCAAGUCUUCAAGGUCACACCAAUUUCUUCAAUUUCAAAGUCUUCAGAAAGUCUUCAGAAAUCCAGCUAUGUGGGCAGAGGUUGCGAGGUCGAAGCCCCACACAUCCCCAACCACCCCCAAAUAUUUUUUAUGAGGAACCUGUCCUCCCCUCUUUGAAACAAGGGGCUCUUCUGGUUCUGUGUGUGCUUCAAACAAUUUUAUCUUCUUCAUAUUGAGAAUGUAUCAUGUGCACCCGACAAACUGGUGCACCAGGUGCUCUGGUGGAUAAUGAGCCUUUGGAUUUAAAAGAUAGGGACAGAAUGCGGCGCAAAAGGGAGCCCCUGGUGCUUUUACACAUUUACCCUUGAAGUGUAACUGAAUUCUGCAUCCACCCCCUCUCCAAUCGUCUCUCUUCAUCUGUUCUUCUUUCCUCUGCCACCGUACGCUAUGGGAGUAUGGUUAGAGAAAAUAUUGCUCGAUGUCAUCUCACUCCCUAUCCUUUCUCUCCUCCCUCUCCUUUACCUAGGGUAGGAUCUCCUGCAUGAAGCUUAACUGCACUCUACGCUCGCCUGAAUCGACUUUGUGGAUUGACAGAUUGAUUUAGGCAGCGUCGGUCCAUGACGUCGAUUCUGUAGUGCUUUGGGAGUUAAGGUUGCUUCCGCGAUUCAUAUAUCAAGGGUAUGUUCUCUUGUUCCCUUACCCUUGAGUUCUAACUGUAUUUUGGUUCUUCCAAUAUGAUCAUAAUUUUUCCCCAUUCAUUUGAAACAAGUGGCAUUGGGAAUAAUAAUAUUAUAUGCAUUGAUUAGAUGUACGAUCUAAAACUGUAAGGAUAAAAUUUUAAUCUCAAUUGCAGCAUUUGAAAGUGUGUUAUAUCGACUAGAGGGGGGUGAAUAGGCAAUUUUUAUGAAUUCUUCACUGAGGAAUUUGCUGGUGAGGAAAUUCCUAAAUGAAGAACUACUUGCAGCGGAAUAAGUACUCAGAAAGGAACAUAACAGAACACAAGCAUGGUCAUCAUGAUGAAAUAAAGAAAAGCACAGAGUACAGAAAGCGUAAACACAGGAUAACACAAGGAAGAAGACGAACAUACUGAAGAAAUAGAGCUGAGGAAAUUGAGAAAGUCUUCAGUCAAAGUCUUCAAACAGAUAUGAACAGGCACACACCAAAAUACAUGAGGAAUUUAAAGAGUUGAGGAAAUAGAACCAGUAAACUCGGUGAAGACAAUGAUUUGGUAGACCAGUUCCAACUGCUGUCUCAGUUGUACAUCUGGUUGGAGCGGCUGAGUAUUUAAACUCGAGGACACCCAGUCCCGGACACACAGUCCUCACCGUAUUCUCCUUGAGCUAAGGUCACACAGACCUCGCCCAAUCACUCGUGGUAAGUCUUCAGGUGACUUCCGAACCUUCACAAACUCGGUCACUCGGCGAUCCAUAAUUCCUCUUGGAUGCUCUAGACCUUGACGCCUAACCGUCUGGAAGAAGCACAGUCUUCAAAGGAAACAAGCGUCGGAUCCACGUAGGAUCAAUCUCUUCAGUGAUGCUCAAUCACUUGGGGUUUUGUAGGUUUGGGUUUGGGAUUUCCUCACUUGAUGAUUUUCACUCAAAGUCCUCGGAGGAUGGGUUGCUCUCAAAUGACAAGUGUCAGUUUCUCUCGGAGAAGCCAACCAACUAGUGGUUGUAGGGGGCGGCUAUUUAUAGCCUAGGGAGCAGCCCAACAUGAUAAGACAUAAAUGCCCUUGUCUGAUAUGACCGUUAGGUGGGUAGAUAUUUUGGGACAGCCGGCGCGUAGCACAACAACGGUCGGAAUAUUUUAGGUUCGAAUUCCUCAGGGCUAUCAUGUUUCUCACUUGGUAGGCAAUCCGCACUGGCGAAUUCCUAACUCUUCAGUCAGAACAAAUUGCUCAGAGACCAGAAGAACUUCGUCUCUGUCACUGAAGAAUAUGGUUGAACUGUGCGAGAUUUCCAAUGGCUUCACUCGAAGGGAUUGGUAGGUGUAGGAUUUGAGUUGAGCAUCACAUGGAAAUUUCUCCUUAGUAUUUCCUCGACCCCCUUUAACAGUACGGUGUUUCCUAUGACUCAAGAAAGAGAAAAUGAAACUAUGAAAACAAAAGUCUUCGCGCUUCAUGUUCCUCGAAUGAAUACCAAGUCUUCAAGGUCACACCAAUUUCUUCAAUUUCAAAGUCUUCAGAAAAUCUUCAGAAAUCCAAAGUCUUCAGUCGAAGAACUUCAUUUUUAGGGGUCGACAUUCUCUGUAAAUAUCAAACUCCUCAUAGACUUAUAGACCUGUGUACACUCACAAACGCAUCAGUCUCUUAACCUAUAAGUCUUCAAUACACCAAAAUCACUAAGGGGCACUAGAUGCACUUACAUCAUUAAGAUUGGAAAUAGACUAAUGAGGUGCUUUCUUGCCCUUCAUAUUUAUAAAUGUUUCUGACAUAAUUGUUAGUAGUACUUUUAUAUGAAGAAAUAGGUACCUAAGAGAUUGAUUACAGGUCGGCGAUACAUUAUUCGUUACACGACUCUUGUGAUUCAUUGGAAUGUGCAUGUUUUCAGAACAAUUACUAGUUGUUAAUGUACAUGAAUGCACUACUAGGGAAAACCUUAUACAUAGAAUCUUAGCAACAACGCGGCUCAAAAAGAGGCGCUACUGCUACUUAGCAGUAGCGAUCUUCAGAAAAGCGCACUGCUGAUGAAAAUUUAGUAGUAGCGCUUGAUGGAUAAACCGUGCUGCUACAAAAAUGUACCGACAGAACCCAACAACCUCAGUUUACCAGCAGUGCAGUGGUGCGAUGCGCGCUAUUGCUAAAGCAAUAGUAAUAGCGCGCUUUUUUGUCACGUCGCUGCUGCUAAUUUUGAAAUUGUCCUCAAGGUUGGCCCGUUUAGCAGUAGCUCGUGUUUGUAAAGCGCGUUGCUGCUACACCCUUAGCAGUAGCGCUCUUUUCCUCCCGUGCUACUGCUAAGGCGCAGCACCCCACCACCUUUUCCCCACCCGUCCUCCCCUCCCCAUCUCCUCUCCUCCCUUUCCCCCACCUCCCACAUCCUCCCUCUCUCACUCUUCUUCUCCCUCAAGACUUCUCCCCCAUUACUCUCCCUCUUAUACCUACCUUUCUCUCUCUUCAUUACUCCUAGCUAACUACACCACCUCCAUUAAUGCAUCUCAUUUAUCUUUAUCCUUCCCUCCACUAGUUGAAGUUGUCUCCUCCCAAAUUGGCUAGCUAGGUAGAUGUAGCAUUUAUUCAAGUGACCUAUUUGCCCCCUAACUAGAUCUAUCUUUGUCAAGAAGAGCUUUGUGCACUUUUGAUCUCUCUACAUCAUCAUCUCCACCGUGUGCUCGAUCUCGAGAUAGAGGUGAUUAAAAUUUCAUGCUUUUGCAAAAUGGAAAUAUGUGUAUGUGUGUGUGAUAUGAUAAUUGGGCAAUAUUAUAGAAAUUGUGUGUGUGGCAUGAGUUGACGCCAAAUUGUGCUUUUGAGUUACCUAUGUUUUGCCGAAAUGUCAAUUUAUUUCUGUUUCGGCGAAUUCCGGGCAAACUCUAGAUCUAUAUAUGUCCUAUUUUUAGGGAAGGUCAUGCCGAAUUUUUGUAUGAAUUUGAUGCAUGCACGCAUUUUUAUAAUCAAUUUGUUUUUUAUUACCGUGCAGGCGUUCAUGCUGGUCAGUGGAACAAUGGUGGACAGGUGGUUGCGGUCGGCGGUGCAGUACAUGAAAGAACAUAACCGGACAGAGGUUUUAUGUCCGUGUCAAAAAUGCAAAGGAAUAGUUUGGCUCGACCCCUAUGACGAUGGUCGUGUCGAAGCGCACCUGCUCAUGACUGGUUUCAUGGAUGGCUAUACUCGGUGGAUAAUUGAAGAUGAGGAUGACGAUGUUGAGGACGCCGACGGGGCAGUCAAUGAUGACACUAGGCAAGAUGAAGAGAUGGUCGAUAAUGGCGGUAGGGAAGAGGCCGGACAUGGCAGCAGAGAAGGGGACGAACAUGGCGGAGGAGAAGGGGCCGAACAUGGCGGCGGAGAGAACAACAUGGACUCCACGCAGCAGAGUUCGUCGGUACUAAGUUCAAUCGUGCGGGACCCUCAUGUUCAAGCAUUGCUUCGCAACGGAGACAAAUACUGAAAGAGCUGCUUCUAGAGAGGGGGCUAAGCUGGAGCAACUGGUUGUAGACUCGAACACUCCAUUGUAUGAUGGUUGCAAUCCUGAGGUGACCCGCUUGAGUUUCACGCUCCAACUCCUGAAGACGAAGGCUAAAAACAAAUGGACCGACACUAGCCUCGAUGAGCAUCUCAAGUACCUAAAGGAUGUUCUUCCCGCGGGGAAUCUAUGUCCAACUAGUGUUGAUGAGGCCAAGAAGAUCGUGUGCCCUCUUGAUCUUCCGCAUGUUAGAUACCAUGCAUGCAUCAACGAUUGCAUAAUUUAUCGAAAGGAGCACGCGGAAAAAACAAGCUGUUCGGUGUGCAAUGCUUCUCGAUACAAGAAGGCCAAGAAGAAAUGUCCCCAGAAAGUUGUAUGGUACUUACCGAUCACUCCCCGUCUCCAGCGGUAUUUUGUAGAUUCCAAGGAAGCAAAGCUAAUGCGCUGACACAUGGAGAGGAAGAAGCCCGACAAUGGAGAUGAUCCGAAGCUGAGACACGUCAAGGAUGGAAGCCAGUGGAGAGCGUUGAACAGCUUCUAUUAGUAUUUCGAAUGUGAUGCAAGGAACAUCAUGCUCGGCGCGUGUACCGAUGGCAUGAAUCUGUUUGGCAACCAGAACACCAACCAUAGCACAUGGCCCGUGUUUGUAUGGAUGUACAACCUCCCCCCUGGUUGUGCAUGAAGUCGAAGUACAUUCACAUGAGCAUGCUUAUUCAAGGGCCGAAACAACCAGGAAAUAAUAUUAACUUGUAUCUGGGGCUACUUCAAGAGGAGUUAGACACGUUAUGGAAAACACCGGCCAAGACAUGGGACGCCAGCAAAGGCGAGUAUUUCUACAUGAGAGCCGCACUGAUCAUGACAGUGCACGACUAUCUAGGUUACGGAUAUGUCGCAGGCCAGGUGUGCCAUGGAUAUUGCGGAUGCACGCGGUGCAUGGAUGGUACGACGUCUCAGCAGCUAACGUCAGGAAAGAUGGCGGGUCUAGGAAAAUCGUGUACAUGGGGCAUCGAAGAUGGCUCGAACAGGACAACCCGUGGAGAAACCGUGGAGAUCUAUUCAAUGGUCACGCUGAGCAUCGAGGACCUCCACGUAAGCGGAGCGGUGCCGAAAUCGAUGAGCUGUUGAAAAACUGGAAAGAGUGCCCCGCGCCGGGAAAGACGAUGAGAAAGGCGCCGAAGCCGCUGCUGAAGGUAUGGAAGACGAGGUCUAUGUUCUGGGACUUGGAGUACUGGCACAAACUCGAUACACUUCAUUGCCUUGAUCAAAUGCAUAUCUGUAAGAAUGUCCUUGAGAGCUUGCUCACGACACUGAUGAACAUGCCGGAUAAGACCAAGGAUGGGCCAAAGGCAAGAAAAGACUUGCAAGAUUUGAAAAUCAGGGAAGAUCUGCACAUGCCGCCCCAUAAAAUGUCAGACGAGACAGAGAUGGAGACAAAUGCACGGGAGAAGGAGGGCAAGAAAAUAAAGAAAGAGGAUUAUUGCCCCCCUUCUUGCUUCACCUUAAGUCAGGCUGAGAUCGGUCAAUUCUUUAAGUGCCUUACCGGAGUCAAAGUUAGUUCCGGUUAUUGUGGCAAGAUAAGCAGAUAUCUAGACACGGACAAGAAAAGGUUCAGCGGGAUGAAGUCCCAUGACUAUCAUGUGAUGAUGACGCAGAUACUACCUGUUAGCCUUAGAGGGAUAAUGGACAAGCACGUCCAUGACACGCUUAUUGGUCUCUGCAACUUUUUCGACAUCAUCUCUCGAAAGUCGAUCAGUGUGAAGCAGCUCCAAAGGCUACAGGAAGAGAAUGUUGUGAUACUGAAUGAGCUUGAGAUGUACUUCCCGCCCGUGUUCUUUGACGUGAUGGCGCAUCUGUGUGUCCAUAUUGUGGACGACAUAAUAGACCUAGGGCCGUCAUUUCUGCACAACAUGAUGUCGUUUGAGAGGAUGGAUGGGAUCAUCAAAGGAUUCAUUCGUAACAUGUCCCGUCCAGAUGGAAGCAUCGUCCAGGGCUAUCUGACACAAGAGUGCAUCUCUUUCUGUGAGAAUUUUCUAUAUGGUGCAGACCUGCAGCCGCCUGGUGUUAGUGUUGGUUUGCCUAUUAACAAGCACGAUGGGAGGCUCGAAGGAGAAGGUCACUCCAACUGUCGCAGGGAACUGCACGUGGCAUACUCAGAUCGACGUAGCGACUUUGACAGAGCAAACUUGGUAGUGCUACAACACCUAGAUGAGGUAGAUCCUUUCGUGGCACUGCACAAAGAAAUUAUCGCAAAGAAGUAUCGUGGCCGGGGGUAUGCAGGACAGACGCCGAAGUUACUAGAGAGCACAACUCCACUUUCCUGCAUUGGUUCAAAGAACAUAUUAUUGCUAAUCCCCUAGAGGAGGGCUCUAAGGACGGAUUGCUCAUAUAUGCCUUAGCACAUGGCCCCUCGCCCAACCUCGUAACCUAUCAGGCAUACGAUAUCAACGGAUACACGUUCUACACGGAGGCCAAAGAUAUAGACAGUGAUGAUCAAAACUCAGGGGUGACGAUGGAAUGCAUGACCUGCAGCGAUAACGGCGCAACUGAAAGAUUUUACAGAAGGGUCGAGGAGAUCUGGGAGCUUGACUAUGCUGGACUGCACAACACGAUGAUGUUCCGUGUCAGAUGGGCUAAGAAUGUCGAAAGAGAAAACCGGAAUUUCACUACCAUGAAUAUAACCGACGCCAAGAGCGCUACCGUAAACGCUAUGGCAAAAAACGAGCCACAGUUACACGCUAAGCAUGUUACACAAUGCUUCUUCAUAACCGACCCGUGCAAUCCCAGCCGUGUUGUCGUGAGGAGAGCCAAAAGGAAAUCAUUGGAAUGGAUGGAGUCGCCAACGAGGAAGAUUACGAUCAGUACGGCAACCCAAUGAGGGAAGAUAACGAUGAUGCUGAAGUAUACGUCAAAAGAAGAAUCAAUACUACAUUACCUAAGAAAAAUCGUACUCCAUGGAAAAGGCAAAGUCACAAUGAGGGGCUCAAUUAUUCUUCAACGAACAAGAAGGAAAAGAAGCUGACUCAAAAAUGAAAAGGUCAACGCUGAGGAACCGUAUGUUAUCGGUCAAAUGAUGUAACAUAUAUAUAUAUAUAUAUAUAUAUAUAUAUAUAUAUAUAUAUAUAUAUAUAUAUAUAUAUAUAUAUAUAUAUAUCAUCCUACCACCCGGUGGUAGUUACCCCAUUUGUCUCAUAUACUACCAUAUGGUACUAUAUAUACUAUUUUAUCAUUUUAAAUAUAUUCGUAUAUUAUAUCUAAGAUAUUUCAAAGCAAGUUAUAUGAAAAAAUUGCAUAUAAGCUCACAGUNNNNNNNNNNNNNNNNNNNNNNNNNNNNNNNNNNNNNNNNNNNNNNNNNNNNNNNNNNNNNNNNNNNNNNNNNNNNNNNNNNNNNNNNNNNNNNNNNNNNNNNNNNNNNNNNNNNNNNNNNNNNNNNNNNNNNNNNNNNNNNNNNNNNNNNNNNNNNNNNNNNNNNNNNNNNNNNNNNNNNNNNNNNNNNNNNNNNNNNNNNNNNNNNNNNNNNNNNNNNNNNNNNNNNNNNNNNNNNNNNNNNNNNNNNNNNNNNNNNNNNNNNNNNNNNNNNNNNNNNNNNNNNNNNNNNNNNNNNNNNNNNNNNNNNNNNNNNNNNNNNNNNNNNNNNNNNNNNNNNNGUAAAAAACAGCAUACUCAAAACAUGGUAUAUACUACCUAAAAAUUAGUAUAUAUACUACCUAAUCAUUGUUAUAUACUACAUACUACACGUACAUACUUUCGAUUUUGACAGAUACUACAUACAACAUACAAAAUGGAAAUGGUGGUAACUACCACUGCUUGUAGGAAACAUUUUUCAUAUAUAUAUAUAUAUAUGUUCCUAUUUUGUAUACACACUUACCCAUUAUUAUGCAUGGUUCCAAUGAUGUAAUAUAUAUGUUCCUAUUUUGUAUACAUAUUUAACCGUCAAAUGAUGCAAUAUAUAUCGCCUUCCCUUCGUCCACUGCUCUCGGAAAAAAAAGUGAGAGAAAAUAAAGGAAAAGAAAAAGGAAAGCUGGUUAUAGUAGUAGCGCUUGACUGAAAAAGAGUUAUAGCUAGUCAAGGUAGCAGUAGCGGUUUCCGUAUAAAACCGCUAUAGUUGCCUAUAAUAGUAGUAGCGCGUUUGGUCCAAACGCGCUACUCCUACGUCCACUUAACCCAAAAUCCUCACUCUCUCUGCUUCAUCCCGCCUCUUUUCCCCCCAAAUUCCCACUCUCUCUUCCCCCGUCGCACCGCAGUGCCCCGGCGCUCGCCCCCGACCCCGACGCGCCACGCCUCCCUCCUCUGCUUCCUCCCCUCCCAACCUCGGCCAUCGUCGGGGCUGCCUCCUCGCCUCUGCACCCUCUGUAACCCCCCUCUCUCUCUGCUAGCUAGGCUUCUUAGAUUAAUUUACUUAGGUUUUAGUUAGGGCAGUAGGCUAAUUAGGUUAUCUAUUUAGUUAUCAAUUUAGCUAGGUUUUAAAAUAGGACAUAAAUUUAGGGUUAAGCAAUUGUAGUUAAAAGAAAAGGCAGCAUUUAAGCAAUUGUCCAAAUCAACAUCCCUUGUUAAAGUAAAUUUAGGUAGGCUGAAUUUAUAUGCAAAUUUGAACUGGACAUGUGAUAUGUGGACAUGUCAUGUUUGGAAUUUGGACAUGUCAUUUGGACAUGUGAUGUUUUGGUUCAAUUUUGGUAAAUCAUCCGAGUGGCCUAUGUUACGCCGGAAUGUUGAUUCAUUUCCGUUUCGGUGAAUUUCAAGCGCUCGAUAUGUCCAUUUUUUAGCAAAGGUCAUGCCGAAAUUUUCCGUGAAUUUUGGCAUGAUUUGUGCUAGAUAGUAGGCAUAUCGAGUGCUGGCGCAUAGAUUUCUUUUUUAUGUCAUUUCUCAUUUUUUUCAUACUUUUAGAAAUAAAUGAGGAGACUUAAUCAUAGGAAACAUGUCGAACAACGAAGAAACUGGGCCUUCUGACCAAGAUGCAGAUGAGAUGGAUUAUGAGGGUGAACAAGAGUACCUCGAGUAUUUGACUGCUAAGCAAGGUUUGCAGGUUGGCCUCGAUGAUGGUACUGACGCCGACAUCGACACCGAUGGCGCCGGCACCGAUGGCAGCGCCGAGACCGGCGAGGAAGGUACCAGCGGGGAACAUACCGGCGGGGAAGGUACUGGCGCCGAUGUCGCUACCGAAAAGAAGCAGAAGAAGCAUAGGAUACGAAAACCUAACAAACUAGGGAUUGGACGACUAGUGAUCACAAAUAUGGCACCUGGCAAGUUUGAGCCAUUAGAGUCAGAAGAACCUCGCAAGUGCUAUGGGAACCAAGUAGGAUGUAUGCUACGGGAAUGCGCGAGCAUCAACGACGAUGACUUAAGGAGUAAAGAACAUUUGACGCAGUUGCUCCUGACAAAGUUGCACAAGAGAUUCAAGUUCCUCGACCGGGAUGAUAACAUAGAACAACCGUGGGAUGAUCCAAAGAUGAAAAAUAUUAACAAUCACGCCAUGGGCAUGUUCAGCAAUGAUUUGGCCUCCUAGAAAGGGAGGGUGGAACGAGAUAUUGAGGCUGAGGAACCCCUGUCCAAGAUUCCGGAGGAAAGUCUGACACUUACGGAAGAGGAGUUCGAAAAGUUCAAGGACACUUGCGCUACCGAGGCAGCCAAGGCUAAGGAUGCGUAAUUCAAGAGCGUUCAGCAAAGGAAUACGGGGAAGCAUCGCCUCGGAAGCCGUGGCUACCUCGGUAAAAGUCCCAUAUGGGAUAAGGAGGACGCGGAACGUGAAGCCGCGGGUAUCCCAGAUCCCUUCGCGAAGUUCACCAACCCCUUGGAGCGUGACUUCAUCAGGGCCCGCUACAAGUGGGACAAGGAAAAAAAGGUUUGUUACACGGACCAGAUCACGAGGAAAUUGAUUAGACUACUGGUAAUUAUUCUUUUACCACCUUAUAUUUAGCUCCAUAUCUAGUCGACUGCACAUUCCUAAACAGUUCACGCUCCUUCUGCAGGAGAAGCAACACUAGCUUGCAGCCGAAAGCCCUACUUCUCCGGUGAGGCCCAAGUGGGACACCCCUCUCAACCGGGCCUUGAACGAACUUAAGGGACUCCCUUUGGGCUAGCAGCCGCAAUAUGGUCGUGUGCAUGGCGCUGGAAACGACGCCACGUGGAAGGUGUUUUACAACGAGGGCCCGGAGGCCAAGAAGCAGAAAAGGAAGUUUAGUUUGGCGGACAUCAACGCGAAGGUGAAGCUUGCGGUCGAGAAAAAAGCAGCCGAGGACGCGAAAAAAAUAGCCGAGGAGAAAAAUGAGUUGCUACAGCAGGCAGUCAAUGCAGCUGUAACUGCCUGCAGAAAUGAUUUUGCUACUAACUUGGUUCGAGCUAUCAUCAACUGGACGAAGGAAAAUCCAGACAAGACGGUACAUGAUUUCCCGAUGCCCAGUUUCGUCGGGAGCAACUCCAUGAACAACAACAACACCGCACCAUCACUUGCUCACGCAAUCGGGCCUCCUCUCGCAGUCGCUCCCGCUCAUAGCAGCCCGUCCUCAGCCUCUGGCACGCUAGGUGGGCCUUCGUCUUUGGCUGAGCUUGACGCCGUCAUGGUAAGUACAUGUUGCACCAACACACACACACACACACACACACACACACACACAUAUAUAUAUAUAUAUAUAUAUAAUAUUCCAUUUUCGUUGCCUUUCGGAUGUUUUACGCCACAGACAUAUGUGUUUGCAGGCCGAAGAAACCUCAUGCACCAUACUCUACUUGAUCAAAGGCCAGAAGGUGGACGUGGGAAAGGGGAUGACAAUGAACCCCUUGCAACCCAUUUCCACAACCAGCCGAUCCCCGCUGGACACUUAAGGGUUAGCUUGUCCAGUGUGAAAUUGGGGCACGAGGCUUUGCCUCCUCCAGUAUAGCAUGUGGGAGAGGACGACGAGACCCCGCCGUAGAUUGGAAGCUGCAAGGGUUGGGUGCUUCUAUGGCCGAAGAAUCUUAUUCGUCUGGAGCCAGCCGAGAGCACAUCAAUAACCACACAUCAACAAGCAUGUGCGGAGACCACCACCCCGCCUACGCAAUUACCAGCUCAUGUAGUGCCAGGUGAGAGCGGUGGACGACGUGAUGAAGGGGGUGCAAUACUACUGGCUGAUGUAAUCGGUCCUGUAGAACAGAGAAUGGAUGAUGAGACGGAGGUCGACCCUAUGGGUUUCCUCAAUACAAACGCAUAUGACUGUGACAUAGAUAUGAUGAGUCAACCAUAUGACGAAUCGGGCUAUCAGCAUGCUAAUGAGGAUAUGGAUGAUAUGCCCGGGCAGGAAGGUCGUUGGAAGGAUUGCAAAAAGUCUCUCUUCAUGAAUUCCUCACAGGACACGCCUGAACAUGCCGCCUCAACACAGGCUCAACUAGCCGGGGGGUCGUACAGAGCUUAGCCUGGGAACCCUAGGGCAGGGGUUAAGGAAGGGUCUGGAAGGCGUGCCCAAGAAAAAGGAGAGGAAGAGAUCGGGGAAGAUAACUGCCUUCAAACAAGCCAGAGCACAUAGCAGCCAGACGAUGGAUUCUGAAGAGCGUGUACCUGUGAAAGGUGUGGCCAUGUUCCAUCUCACGGGCGAGCCGAUGCUACCGCCGAAACCGUUGGAGGCACUAUCAGGGGAUCUCAGGAGAAUGCAUGACCAUGUGCUAUCAACUGAGAAAAGCCUACUAGCCUCAAAGGAUCCAGGAUAUCCGACAUACGCGGCUCGUGUGCCUGAGGGGAAGUGCUACGUCGACACACGGCCCGCGGAGGUGUUCUUCCUACGGUUUGACCAUAUCUUUGAGAUGUUUUUGACAAGGCGGCUCGAUUUUACAAUCGUCCGCCUUUUUGCGUUACAUAUGAGCUCCGUCAUGAAGAGUGAAGAAGUCUCGCAAAUCUGUGUGGCGGAUCCAUACUACAUGCACGAGUCUUUCUUGAGUCUCGGCGAGUUUGAGCGUGAAACUGCUAGGGACUACCUCCAAAACUUCAUGGUACAGAAUAAGGACCAGUAAAUUGUCCUCCUGCCUUAUCAUCCAAAGUAAGUCAGUUCCGGACAACCCUUUCGUACAUUUCAAUCAUUCCUUCUCGCUCGUAUGGAGAAUAAUUUGAGGUGUAUUUUCCCCGUAGCAACGGGCGCGCCGUCCUUAUCGUUCUUUACCCGCGAGUCUCCCAUGUCGUGUAUUUUGACCCUUCCAGAGACUACGAGAAAAAGGACUACACCCACAUAAUGAAUAUUCUAGAUGAUGCUCUCCAAGGCUUCAGCAUUAGAGGUAGCCACAUGCAGAUUAGGAAACAAAGGAACAAGAAGAUGGGUUUCGCGCAUAAAACUAACUUCUCCUGCAUCCAUGUCCCAAAACCAAGCAAGAAGGAUGGAUUCUACAUCGUCCAUCUCAUGAUUGAGUUCAGUACGGAUCACCAAAAGCUUCGCAUGACAAGCAGAAAUGAUGAUCAUAUCCACAAGUGGCUAGAAUCUCAUGGAGAAGCGGAUUAUAAACUUAGAGAUGACUUCUUUCGCAUCCAAAGGGACAUUGCAACGAUCAUCAUGAAAGAAGUCGUCGAUGAGAAGGGGAUGUUCCACCACGGCCCUAUAUUGCAAGCUGACGUUCGAACUCGCAUAGGCAUGCAACGUCUAUACCUCACGUCGUUCAAGGAGCUAGGGUCCAUCCUCGGUGAUAUGGAAGGAUGGAACUUCUAGUGAUUUACGAUGCCGAUGAUGAUGAUAUGUGUCGGUUGAACUUGUAUACUUUCUGUAGCGAUGAAACUUUGUGAUGUCCACGGUCCGUCCCGAACUUGCAUACCGCUACUUUGUUAGUUUGCGUACGAUGAGCUGCGUACCUCUAGUUAAUUAGUUUGCGUACUGUAUGUUGCAUCUAGUUUCUAACCCUUUAUUUUUCGUGUUGCUCUAGUAUAUUUUAUUGCAUAUGAUUGUACAUCCUCUUCAUGAAGAUGCAUCUUUAACAGGUACCUAGUUUCUUGAUGGCGAGAUGGCAGUGCUAUGUCGUGUACAAAGGGAAGCUUCCGGGGGUGUACAACGAGUGGCCUGAGUGUCAGGCGCAAGUGAAUGGGUUCUCGAGCGCCGGCCAUAAAGGCUUCAAAAGCAAACAAGAAGAAGAAGCUAGUUACUUGAGGUUCACGCUAGCGUGAGAGAGGACUCGUAACCACCGCCUCAUGUACUGCAUAGUUCCGCUCUUACUCAUAGUGAUAGCUCUUCUCGUGUAUACCUUUGUUUAGAUGGAUGACGUUGUAGUCGCAAGUAUUCGAGACUUGCAUGUAUCGCUAUUUUCGAGAUGAUGACAAGAUACCACUUUGUGUUGGAUGAUGAUUCUGAUGAGACUAUUUGUAUGUAUAUGCUAUUAUUACAUUUGUGGUCUCACAGCCAUUUGUAUGUGUAUCAUGAUGAAAUUUGUAUGUGCUAAAGAUUCUUCUAUAAAGCAUGUUCAAAUACAAAACAAAUAUGCAGAAAAAAACAAAAACUACUAAAAUUAGCAGUAGCGAGUGGAGAAAAGUUAGCAGCAGGGUGACAAUAGCAGUAGCGCGCACAGGAAAAGCGCGCUAUAGCUAUUAGCAGUAGCGAGCUCCCGGGAAGAACGCUGCUGCUACACUUGUAUAUCAGUAGCACUAGCGCGCACGCGCUGCUGCUACGGGUUAGCUGUAGCGCCUUAUUAGUAGCGCCAUGUCCCACGCUACUGAUAUACGUAAAACCCGUGCUGCCGCUAGGCUUUUACCUAGUAGUGAUGCCUUAUUUACCCCCAGAUAAUGACACAAGAUUUCCUUUUCAAAUUCAUGUUUUUGAGAAAAAAAAACUUAUUGUGCACUUGCCUUCUAAUCAAUUAUUUGCAGGCAGUCCCUGGAAUGGGUUUUGACAUCAUGCGGCCAGGCUCAUUAGUUGCAACCUCCCUUAUUAAUGAUGAAGCAAAACCAAAGCAUGUUCUUUUGUUAGAACUUAGAAGUCAAGGUCAAAUUUGAUCUUCUUUUUAUGUAAAACAUGAUGCAUUUAUGGUGUUCAGAGUUUUAUUAUUUUUAUAUACUCCUUAAAUAGGUAAACCAUGAUACGCCAAAACAAACUUCCUUUGACGUCCAUUAGACCUUUUGAGUAUGCUGAUUUAUGCCACUCCUUAGUUAAUGCUUAGUUAAGCAAGUGUAUGUCAGGUUCUCACAAUGCGAAAUGUGCAAGUUGUUUUGAAAGAUGUAAAAGAUGUCGACCCACAUGAUCUGGCCUCUAUUUUCAUUUCAAUAAAAUUGCGAGUGUCAGGUUUUCUGUUUAGUAUUUCAAAUGUUGUUCCUUUUCCUGUAAGCACGUGGCCUUGGUGGGUACCUAAGAGAUUGAUUUCAGAUCAGGAAUCUGAGUGAAAAAAUAGUCAACUAAAAUCCAGUAGAUUAGAGCCCAAACUUUGAUUAAUUCGAAUCAAGGUAAAAUAUUAAUACAAGUGCUCUGAUAAAGAAUAAAUUUUUUUCUUUGAAAUUCUCAUACUGUUCUGCAUGUAGAUCACUCUUGGUUUACAAAAAUGAAACAACAACUAUUUAGUCAGAAGUAUGCCGGCAAGGUACCUUGGGAACUUAUUUCAUUGUCUCGUGUUGUAAGGUCAUGAACCCCCAACACAUUUUCAUUUUCUCAAAAGCAGCGAAGAAGCGCAAGACUACAUGAGGUAUUUUGCUAUGUUUAAGAAAACAGUGCACAUAAUAUAUCAUUAGUGAGAAAAUAGACUAAGCUAUGAGAAAUUUUAUGCUAGUGUGUGAUUGCCCAAGUGCUUGUUGUAACAGGCUGCCAAGUCCCUCUCUUUGUGGAGUGAAGAGGGAAGGCAACAAUCAGUUGGCUGUCAGUUGACCUGCAAGAUGAAGGUUACUCCUUCAUACUUCCAGGGGUUCAAGUCUCAGUUUGCAUUAAAAAGUAGAAAUGUUGCUGCAAACAUCCAUGCAAGAGAGGUUGUACUAAACUUUGAUGUAAUCAUGUAUUGAAAUUUCAUGAAAUCCAUGUAUUUCUGGAUGAUUUGAUAGGAUUACAUAACGUGUUGCAUAUAUUUAGCAUGCCAAAUUCACUUCUUACAUACAAUCCAUUUUGCACUGGAACAAUAAAAAUGCAUAAAUGACACAGAAGCACAAAUGGACUUGAAUGGAUUGAUUUCCAGUAUAUGAAGUUUACUCUAACAUGACCUCAAAUAUUUAUUCUAGCAACGCAUCAGUGAAACUGUCACAUCUACUUCUCUGGGAAUUUUGUGAUGCUCUUUGCCUGGCAAAGAAUAACGAAACCACAUUAAUACAACAUCAGAAAGUGCAUAAACAACAUUUUACAUUGAUGCUCUUUGGCCCUUGGUGUCUCCAUUCUUUACCCUACGGUUAUAUCGUUGAUCUACUGAAUCUUGCUUCUUCAGGUUUAUUUGUUCUUCGGGUUUCACACACGGUCAGCACUACUAGUUAUUACUACAUCUUCUAAAUUUUUUCUGUGGAAUGUAGUGAACUUUAUUUCAGAUAACAGAUGAAGUCCAUACUAUUCAAUCCAAAUGCUACUUGUUUCAAACAAAUCGGAGAAACUGGGAUUGGAAACUAGACUAUACAUGGAUAAUAGCAUAACCAAAUUUUGAGCUCAUACCGCAAAUCCUUUAGUAGUAAAAAUAAGCAAGCUGUUGGUGGACCACAUGAUUUCGAUCCUGGCCACUCGUGGUGUUUCAAUGCUAGAAGCCGGGGCAAGGGAGGGAGGGCAAUAGAGAGGCAGACCAAAUUUCUCUUAACCCUAGCUCGAGGCUGCUGCACGGGUACAACAGAUGGAAGGGGAGGUUGAUGAACUCAGAACGGGGAGGUCAAGUCGCUGGGUUUAGCUAGACUUGAAGGUCUAUUUUGCAAAAUGGACCAGCAGCUGCCUUUGCACUACAUCUAGUCCCUAUCUUUUUAAUCCAAAGGCUCACGAUCCACCAGGGCGCCUGGUGCACCAGUUCGCCUCGUGCACAGGAUACGUUCUCUCUCUCCAUAUUACCAUAUCUCUAGAGCCAAUAAUUUUCUCUGAGGAAGUACUGAACUCAAUCACUUGCCGCCGUUACUCAACUGUUUUCUGUUGAGGUCUAUCAUGUAAAGGUAGUAAAAUUGUACCGGCAUUUCGAGUACCAGGACCAUAUACAUCAUGUAUUUUCAUGUACCAGGACCGUAUCGAAGCACUUUUGAACCACGAGGACCUUGUUGGGCCUGUGACUACGAGGAUGAUAUGUGCAAUUAUCUCGUUGUUGACUUGGUGGGAGAUUUUGAGGUACACGAUUUGGUCUUCAUCUCUUCAAGAGCUUUGCAGUAGCAAGUAGUUGAUCACUUGCACGUUGUUGUUGAUCAUCGUCGUCAUCAACCCCUUCUUGAUAUGGCCGCAUGUCUUCCUGUUGAAGGCGCCACAGUCAAUUCGGUGAGCAUUAUGAUAUUCCUUGAAAUCCUUGAUCUUCCCGCUCCCAUUGGGUGUUCGUGCCUGGAGGCAGAUCCAUAGGCCCUAUGCAGCAUAUGUCAGCCACGCCCGCCUUGAUCUCCCUGUGUUCCGCCUUGAAUUCCCUGUGAGCUUUCAUGACGGUGUCAGCAUGGUUCUUCUUAUGCUUCUCCUUGUGCUUGUUGUCCUCCCCGGUAUGGUGCUUCAUCUUUUUCAUCUUAUCCUUGCUCUUGUGCUCACCCUUAUCUCCUUGCUGGCCUCCUUGUGAUGUUGUGGCUUGUGUUCUUUGUAUGUUGUGCCCUUGUCGUGGCCGUGGCAUUUAGCUUGACCAUGUCAAGAGGCUAGUGGACAACAAUUUUCUCCAAUGGUGGGAGCGGAGCAGACAUGAUCCAGCUUUCGUCGGACGGCUCUGACUCCAACUUCGGCGGCUUCGGCCUGGGCGACAUGAAUAGGGUGAAGAUCAGGGCCUAAAUAUAGAUAGAGUAAAUGAAUAAAGUGUAUUUGUUUUGUUUAUUUCGUUCAAAUCGACUAGUUUAAAUCUAUGUUAUGUAAUGUAGUUUGAGAUGAUUGUGCUAUCUAUGGUUAUAUUUGUGUUUAAGCAAUGCACUUUGAAUCAAAUUGGGCUAGCGAGGUUCAAAUUCGUGUGAAUUUUUUAGGGGGUUAAGUUUUGUGCUUCAUCUAGGAAAUGAUAUUUAGCGGACCUAAUAUUUUUUUGAUGGAAAGAUGUUCAUGGCUAGCUUUAUUAAAAUCAAAUCACACUUUCAUCAUCCACUAGAAGACUAUAAAUAAAGCUUGGGGGUGUGUCCAACCACAAAGCUGUGGGAUCAACACGCCCUUGCUAAGCUAGCACCCGAGCAACCAUAUUAAACUCUAUUACAAUGUGUUUAGAAAGAACCUUCCCAAACUCUUCACUCAAACUUCGACAUUCUUCAGCGAUAGGAGCAGACACCAUAGAAUGUCCAAUAUUUAGGUUUGACGCUUCUACGACAACCAAAUUAUCCAUCUACACAAGGAGUUAAUUAAUUUCUAUAGUCAAGGCCAGUUUCAAACCUACCACUAAAGUUGUUGCUUCCACCGAAAAGAUAUCCCCAACAUGCUCAAGUUUUGCACUAGAAGCACCUAUGAGCAUACCCAUAUGAUAACAGGCAACAUCUCCACAUUAACCAUCAUGAUCAUCCUAAGAAAAGAAUCUACAUUUAGUACGAGUUGUCCAAACAUAGGCUUCUUCCAUCGGUUUAAGCGUGGGGCAGGUAUCGGCUUCCCAUUUGCAUGUACAUAGUUCAACAUAAAACGCUUGAACGACUAUGUAUGCAUCAUCAGCGCCUCUCGUUGCAGAUGAGUAGCGCCCAUCUCCAUCAUUUUUUUCUCUUCAUCAUCACGGAGACCUGCCCAGUAUCAAAUAAAAGAACAUGCAUAACAUAUAAAUUCAGUCGGAUAUCUAACCAUUUUCUGAUCAAAACAAGCUCUAUUACACAAUUUCCAGAUGGCCCCGCAGAUCGUUGCGACCCUGCUAUCUCUACAUUCCUACUCAAAGGGAUAUAAUGAGGUAUCCACCAGAAGUAUUGUGAGAAGCGGGUUGGCCAAGCUACAAUUGGGAAACGUUACAUGGAAAACAAAAAAAAUCUACGCACACGCAAGAUCUAUCAAAGAGAUGCAUAGUAACGAGAGGGGAGAGUGUGUCUACGUACCCUCAUAGACCAUAAGCGAAAGUGUUUCACAAUGCGGUUGAUGAAGUCGAACUUUCUUCGUGCUCCAACGAUUUAGUACCAAAUGCAUGGCACCUUCGCAUUGUGCACACGUUCAGCUCGGUGACGUCCUCCGCCUUCUUGAUCCAGCAAGACGGCAAGGUAGUAGAUGAGUUCCGAUAGCACGACAGUGUGGUGACGGUGAUGGUGAUGUGAUCUCCGCAAGGCUUCGCCUAAGAACUACAGAAAUAUGACCGAGGGAGUAAACAGUGGACGGGGGCGCUGCACACGGCUAAGACAAUGUUGUGUCCUUGUGUGGUGCCCCCUCCCCACAUAUAUAUAUAGGUGGGGGGAGAAGGCAGCCUAGGGCAUCCAGGGCGCGCGGCUGGCCGCCGGCACUAGGGCUCGUACCCUCCUGCGCCCCCCUUUCCUUGUAGGACCAAGGGGGAAGGAAAGAGAGGAGGGAAGGAAGGGGGAGUCCUACACCACACUUUCCUUUCCCUCCCCUCUUUCCUUCUCCUCCUCAUAGGGUCGGCCACCAUAGGGGCGCCCUAGCCCCUUGUGGGCUGGUGCGUUCCCUCUCUUGGCCCAUAAGGCCCAUAGCUUUCCCGGGGUGCCCGAAACUCCUUUCCGGUGACCCGAUAAGCACCUGGUACCCUCGAAACACUUCCGGUGUCUGAAUACCAUUGUCCUAUAUAUCAAUCUUUACCUCUCGACCAUUUCGAGACUCCUAUUCAUGUAUGUGAUCUCAUACGGGACUCGAACAAUAUUCGAUCACCAAAUCACAUAACUCAUAUAAUACUAUAUCAUCAUCGAACAUUAAGCGUGCGGACCCUACGGGUUCGACAAUUAUGUAGACAUGACCAAGACAUCUCUCUCGUCAAUAACCAAUAGGGGAACCUAGAUGCCCAUAUUGGCUCCUACAUAUUCUAUGAAGAUCUUUAUCGGUCGAACCGUUAUGACAACAUACGUAGUUCCCUUUGUUCAUCAGUAUGUUACUUGCCCGAGAUUCGAUCGUCGGUAUCUCUAUAUCUAGUUCAAUCCCGUUACCAGCAAGUCUCCUUACUCGUUACGUAAUACAUCACCUCAUGACUAACUCCUUAGUCAUUUUCUUGCAAGCUUAUGAUGUGUAUUACCGAGAGGGCCCAGAGAUACCUCUCUGAUACUCGGAGUGACAAAUCUUAAUCUUGAUCUAUGACAACUCAACAAACACCUUCGGAGAUACCUGUAGAGCAUCUUUAUGAUCACUCAGUUACGUUGUGACGUUUGAUAGCACACAAAGUAUUCCUCCGGUGUUCGGGAGUUGCAUAAUCUCAUAGUCAAAGGAAUAUGUAUUUGACAUAAAGAAAGCAAUAGCAAUAAACUGAAUGAUCAAUAUGCUAUCACAUAAUUCUCCUAACGACGUGAUCCCAUUAUCAAAUGACAACGCAUGUCCAUGGUUAGGAAACCUUAACCAUCUUUGAUCAAUGAGCUAGUCUAGUAGAGGCUUACUAGGGAAACGGUAUUUGUUUAUGUAUUCACACAUGUAUUUAAGUUUCUGAUCAAUACAAUUCUAGCAUGAAUAAUAAACCUUUGUCAUGAAUAAGGAAAUAUAAAAUAACAACUUUAUUAUUGCCUCUAGGGCAUAUUUCCUUCAGUCUCCAACUUGCACUAGAGUCAAUAAUCUAGUUCACAUCGUCAUGUGAUUAACACCCAUCGUUCGCAUCGCCAUGUGACUAACAUCCAAAGAGUUUACUAGAGUCAUUAAUCUAGUUCACAUCGCCAUGUGAUUAACACCCAAAGAGUAUUAAGGUGUGAUCAUAUUUUGCUUGUGAGACAGGCUUAGUCAAGGGGCCUGCUACAUUCAGAUCCGUAUAUAUUUUGCUAUUUUCUGUGUCUACAAUGCUCUGCAUGGAGCUACUCUAGUUAAUUUCUCCCACUUUCAAUACAUAUCCAGAUUGAGACUUAGAGUCAUCUAGAUUAGUGUUAAAGCUUGUAACCCUUUACGACAAUCCCUUUAUCACCUCCAUAACCGAGAAACAUUUCCUUAGUCCUAUAAGGAUAAUUUUGACCGAUGUCCAGUGAUCUACUCCUGGAUCACUAUUGUACCCCCUUGCCAAACUCAUGGCAAGGCACACAACAGGCCUGAUACACAACAUGGCAUACUUUAUAGAGAACCUAUGGCUGAGGCAUAGGGAAUGACUUUCAUUCUCUUUCUAUCUUCUGCCAUGGUCGGGCUUUGAGUCCUACUCAAUUUCACACCUUAAAAUACAGGCUAGAACUCCUUCUUUGACUGGUCCAUUUUGAAAUCCUUCAAAAUCUUGUUAAGGUAUGUACCCAUUGAAAGUCUUAUCAAGUGUCUUGACCUAUCUCUAUAGAUCUUGAUGCCUAAUAUGUAAGCAGCUCCACCGAGGUCUUUCAUUGAAAAAUUCUUAUUCAAGUAUCCUUUUAUGCUAUCCAGAAAUUCUAUAUCAUUUCCAGUCAAUAAUAUGGCAUCCACAUAUAAUAUCAGAAAUGCUACAAAGCUCCCACUCACUUUCUUGUAAAUACAGGCUUCACCGUAAGUCUGUAUAAAAUCAUAUGCUUUGAUCACCUCAUCAAAGCUUAUAUUCCAACUCCGAGAUGCUUGCACACUUUGUUAGCACCUUUAGGAUUGACGAAAACUUAUAGUUGUAUCAUAUACAACUCUUCUUUAAGAAACCCAUUAAGGAAUGCAAUUUUGACGUCCAUUUGCCAGAUUUCAUAACUGUCGAGAACCUUUUGUGACAAGUCGAGCUUUGUAGAUGGUGACAUUACCAUCAGCGUCUGUCUUCUUCUUGAAGAUCCAUUUAUUCUCAAUGGCUUGCCGAUCAUAGGGCAAGUCCACCAAAGUCCACACUUUGUUCUCAUACAUGGAUCCUAUCUCAGAUUUCAUGGCCUCAAGCCAUUUAUUGGAAUCUAGGCUCAUCAUAGCUUCUUCAUAGUUCAUAGGUUCGCCAUGGUCUAGUAACAUGACUUCUAGGACAGGAUUACCGUACCACUCUGGUGCGCAACGUGCUCUAUUCGACCUACGAGGUCCAAUAAUAACUUGAUCUGAAGUUUCAUGAUCCUCAUCAUUAUCUUCCUCUCUAGUUUGUGUAGGCAUCACGGGAACUGAAUUCUUUAAUGUGCCACUUUCCAAUUCGAGAGAAGGUACAAUUACCUCAUCAAGUUCUACUUUCCUCCCACUCACUUCUUUCGAGAUAAACUCCUUCUCUAGAAAGGACCCAUUCUUAGCAACAAAGAUUUUGACUUCGGAUCUGUGGUAGAAGGUAUACCCAAUAGUUUCUUUCGGGUAUCCUAUGAAGAUGCACUUCUCCGCUUUGGGUUUGAGCUUAUCAGGCUGAAGCCUUUUGACAUAAGCAUCGCAUACCCAAACUUUUAAGAAACGAAAACUUAUGUUUCUUGCCAAACCACAGUUCAUACGGUGUCGUCUCAACGGAUUUAGACGGUGCCCUAUUUAACGUGAAUGAGGCUGUCUCUAAUGCAUAACCCCAAAAUGAUAGUGGUAAAUUGGUAAGAGACAUCAUAGAUCGCACCAUAUCUAAUAAAGUACAGUUACGCCGUUCGGACACACCAUUACGUUGUGGUGUUCCAGGUGGCGUGUGUUGUGAAACAAUUCCACAUUGUUUUAAAUGAAGGCCAAACUCGUAACUCAAAUAUUCGCCUCCAUGACCAGAUCGUAGAAACUUUAUUUUGUUGUUACGAUGAUUCUCCACUUCACUUUGAAAUUCUUUGAACUUUCAAAUGUUUCAAACGUGUGUUUCAUUAAGUAGAUAUACUCAUACUUACUUAAAUCAUCUAUGAAGGUCAGAAAAUAAUGAUACCCGCCGCGUACUUCAACACUCAUCGGACCACAUACAUCGGUAUGUAUUAUUUCCAAUAAGUUAUUAGCCCGCUCCAUUGUUCCGGAGAACGGAGUUUUAGUCAUCUUGCCCAUGAGGCAUGGUUCGCAAGUAUCAAAUGAUUCAUAAUCAAGUGAUUCCAAAAAUCCAUCUGCAUGGAGUUUCUUCUUGCGCUUUACACCAAUAUGACCUAAACGGCAGUGCCACAAGUAUGUUGCACUAUCAUUAUCAACUUUGCAUCUUUAGCAUCAAUAUUAUGAAUAUGUGUAUCACUACGAUCGAGAUUCAAUAAACCAUUCACAUUGGGUGUAUGACCAUAGAAGGUUUUAUUCAUGUAAGUAGAACAACAAUUAUUCUAUGACUUAAAUGAAUAACUGUUGCAAUAAACAUGAUCCAAUCAUAUUCAUGCUCAAUGCAAACACCAAAUAACAUUUAUUUAGGUUCAACACUAAUCCCGAAUGUAGAGGGAGUGUGCGAUGGUGAUCGUAUCAACCUUGGAAUCACUUCCAACACACAUCGUCACCUCAUCCUUAACUAGUCUCUGUUCAUUCUGCAACUCCUGUUUCGAGUUACUAAUCUUAGCAACUAAACCCGUAUCAAAUACCCAGGUGCUACUACAAACACUAGUAAGGUAUACAUCAAUAACAUGUAUAUCAAAUAUACCUUUGUUCACUUUGCCAUCCUUCUUAUCCGCCAAGUAUUUGGGGUAGUUCCGCUUCCAGUGACCAUUUCCUUUGCAGUAGAAGCACUCAGUUUCAGGCUUGGGUCCAGCUUUGGGCUUCUUGACGGGAGUGGCAACUUGCUUGCCAUUCUUCUCAAAGUUACUUUUCUUUCACUUGCCCUUUUUCUUGAAACUAGUGGUCUUAUUAACCAUCAACACUUGAUGUUUUUUCUUGAUUUCUACCUUUGCUGAUUUUAGCAUCACAAAGAGCUCGGUAAUCAUUUUCAUCAUCCCUUGCAUAUUAUAGUUCAUCACGAAGUUCUAGUAGCUUGGUGAUAGUGAUUAGAGAACUCUAUAAAUCACUAUUUUAUCUAGAAGAUUAACUCCCACUUGAUUCAAGCGAUUGUAGUACCCAGACAUUCUAAGCACAUGCUCAUUGGCUGAGCUAUUCUCCUCCAUCUUGUAGGCAAAGUACUUGUCAGAGGUCUCAUACCUCUCGACAUGGGCAUGAGUUUGAAAUAUGAAUUUCAGCUCUUGGAACAUCUCAUAUGUUCCAUGGCAUUCAAAACGUCUUUGGAGCCUCGAUUCUAAGCCGUAAAGCAUGGCGCACUAAACUAUCAAGUAGUCAUCAUAUCGAGCUUGUUAGACGUUUAUAACGUCUGCAUCAGCUCCUGUAACAGGUCUGUCACCUAGCGGUGCAUCAAGGACAUAAUUCUUAUGUGCGGCAAUGAGGAUAGUCCUCAGAUCAUGGACUCAGACCGCAUUAUUGCUACUAUCAUCUUUCAACUUAGUUUUCUCUACGAACAUAUCAAAAUACAGGGGGGCUAUAUCGCGAGCUAUUGAUCUACAACAUAGAUAUGCAAAAACUAUUAAGACUAAGUUCAUGAUAAAUUUAAGUUCAAUUAAUCAAAUUACUAAUAAACUCCCACUUAAAUUGACAUCCCUCAAGCCAUCUAAGUGAUACGUGAUCCAAAUCAACUAACCCAUUUCCGAUCAUCACGUGAAAUGGGGUAGUCAUCAAUGGUGAACAUCUAUAUGUUGAUCAUAUCUACUAUAUAACUCACAUUCGACCUUUCGGUCUCUAGUGUUCCAAGACCAUGUAUGUACAUGCUAGGCUGAUACGUCCAUUUUGCACCAUGCUUUUAUAUCGAUAUUUAUUGCAUUAUGGGAUGUUAUUACACGUUAUGUCACAAUACUUAUGCCUAUUAUCUCUUAUUUUACAAGGUUUGCAUGAAGAGGGAGAAUGCCGGCAGCUGGGAUUCUGGCUGGAAAAGGAGCAAAUAUUAGAGACCUAUUCUGCACAAAUCCAAAAGUCCUGAAACUCCACGAAAGUCAUUUUUGGAUUUAAUAAAAAAUAUUGAGCAGAAGAAAUACCAGAGGGGGGCCACCCACCGUCCAUGAGGGUGGGGGCACACCCUACCCCCCUGGGCGCGCCCCUGCCUCGUGGACCACCUGGCAGCCCUCCGGUGCCCAUCUUCUGCUAUAUGAAGUCUUUUACCCUAGAAAAAAUCAUAAGCAAGCUUACGGGACGAAACUCCACCACCACGAGGCGGAACCAAUCUAGGGCUCUGGCGGAGCUGUUCUGCAGGGCAAACUUCCCUCCGGGAGGGGGAAAUCAUCACCAUCGGCAUCACCAUCGAUCCUCUCAUCGGGAGGGGGUCAAUCUCCAUCAACAUCUUCACCGGCACCAUCUCCUCUCAAACCCUAGUUUAUCUCUUGUAUCCAAUCUUUGUACCAAAACCUCAGAUUGGUACCUGUGGGUUGCUAGUAGUGUUGAUUACUUCUUGUAGUUGAUGCUAGUUGGUUUAUUUGGUGGAAGAUCAUAUAUUCAAAUCCUUAAUGCAUAUUAAUACCCCUCUGAUUAUGAACAUGAAUAUGCUUUGUGAGUAGUUAUGUUUGUUCCUGAGGACAUGGGAGAAGUCUUGCUAUUAGUAGUCAUGUGAAUUUGGUAUCAUUCGGUAUUUUGAUGAGAUGUAUGUUGUCUCUCCUCUAGUGGUGUUAUGUGAACGUCGACUACAUGACCCUUCACCAUUAUUUGGGCCUAGAGGAAGGCAUUGGGAAGUAAUAAGUAGAUGAUGGGUUGCUAGAGUUACAGAAGCUUAAACCCUAGUUUAUGCGUUGCUUCGUAAGGGGCUGAUUUGGAUCCACAUGUUUCAUGCUAUGGUUAGGUUUACCUUAAUACUUCUUUUGUAGUUGUGGAUGCUUGCAAUAGGGGUUAAUCAUAAGUGGGAUGCUUGUCCAAGAAAGGGCAGUACCCAAGCACCGGUCCACCCACAUAUCAAAUUAUCAAAGUAACGAACACGAAUCAUAUGAGCGUGAUGAAAACUAGCUUGACGAUAAUUCCCAUGUGUCCUCGGGAGCGCUUUUCUCUAUAUAAGAACUUGUUCAGGCUUGUCCUUUGCUACAAAAAGGAUUGGGCCACCUUGCUGCACCUUAUUUAUUUUAUUGCUUGUUACUCGUUACAAAUUACCUUAUCACAAAACUAUCUGUUACUGAUAAUUUCAGUGCUUGUAGAGAAUACCUUACUGAAAACCGCUUGUCAUUUCCUUCUGCUCCUCGUUGGCUUCGACACUCUUACUUAUCGAAAGGACUACGAUAGAUCCCCUACACUUGUGGGUCAUCAUAGGCUCAUCAAGUUCAACCCAAGUAUUCUGCAUGUGCAAAACUGUCUUACACCCGUUGUAUGUGAACGUAGAGUAUAUCACACCCGAUCAUCACGUGGUGCUUCGAAAUGACAAACUUUGGCAACGGUGCAUACUCGGGGAGAACAUGUUUAUCUUGAAAUUUAGUGAAGGAAUCAUCUUAUAAUGUUACCGCCGUUCUAAGAAAAAUAAGAUGUAUAAAGGAUAAACAUGACAUGCAAUCAAAAUAUGUGACAUGAUAUGGCCAUCAUCAUCUUGUGCUUUUUAUCUCCAUCUCCAUCUCCAAAGCCUCGUCAUGAUCUCCAUCAUCGCCGGCUCGACACCUUGAUCUCCAUCGUUGCGUCGUGGCUGUCUCGCCAACUAUUGCUUCUACAACUAUUGCUAACGCAUAGCGAUAAAGUAAAGCAAUUAUAUUGCAUUUCAUACAAUAAAGAGAUAACCAUAAGGCUCCUGCCGGUUGCCGAUAAUUUAUAAAACAUGAUCAUCUCAUACAAUAACGUAUAUCACAUCAUGUCUCACUACUAGAAAAACAGCUAUAGCCAAUAUGGACACUAAUGGCGCACUAUACAUGUGGUGCGCCAUUACUAAAUAGUAAUGGCGCACGUAGGUGCGCCAUUAGUAACCAAAACAGUAAUGGCGCACCAGGUGAUAAGUGCGUCAUUACUAAGUUUGACCAAGGUUUGACCCAGUCAUACACAUAGUAAUGGCGCAUUUUGUAUAGGUGCGCACUUAGUAAUGGCGCACAUUUACAAAGUGCGCCAUAACAAUGUGUAUGACUGGGUCAAACCUUGGUCAAACUUAGUAAUGGCGCACUUUGCAUAGGUGCGCCAUUACUAUGUCAAACUUAGUAAUGGCGCACCUUCACAAAGUGCACCAUUACUAACUUUGACCAAGGUUUGUGAUAUGUGGUCUAGUUGUUGGGAAAAUUUACAAAUAUGAAUUUCGACUUUAUUUGCAAAAUCACUCUGGAAUUUAGUAAAAUGGGCAUAACUUUUGCAUACGAACUCGGAUUAAAAAGUUUUUUAAUAUGAAAAAUCAUCUACUUGAAAAGUUACAUCCGAAUUCAACCGGGGGAACCCCGAUGAAGAUUUUUAGAAUCCCCCAAAACCUAACAGAAUAAAAGAUACGGGGCUUUUAAGAUCUAGAGGGGGGAAAUGGAAAAAAAAUUCAAACUUAGUAAUGGCGCACCAUUUGCUAGGUGCGCCACUAGUAACAGAAAAAAAUUGGUUUCAAAUUUUUUUUAGAAAAAAUGUUCAAAAUAUGAUACGUAAUAUGACCGGGAAGUUUGAAAUAUUUUUUCAAAAUUUCAUCACACUCAUGAACAAGAACAAAGUCCUAGACAUCAACAAGGUUUAAUAGGAUUGAUAUGAUAGAUAUAUCAACAAGUGCAUGUUAAGUGAGCUGGUGCUGGGGUUGGAUAGAACUGAGAAGUUAAGCGUCCUGGGGAUGGAGUAGUGUGAGGAUGGGUGACCUUUUGGGAAGUUUGACCAGGGAGUGCAAUUUGACUUGAAAUUAAGCAUAUUGACCCGAGAUUAAGAAAAAAAUGAAAAAAAAUGAUGAAAAAAAAUGAAAAAAAAAUUGAAAAAAAAAAUUCUGAAAAAAAUUUGAAAAAAAAUUGUUAGUAAUUCUAUGUGGUGCGCCAUUACUAAGUCAGAUAGUAAUGGUGCACUUCUAGGCACCAAAUGUGCGCCAUUACUAUUUGUUACUAGUGGCGUGUUAAUAGUGGUGCACCUAUAGUGCGCCAUUAUUAGCAAAAACUGGUGCGCCACUAACAGCCUUUUUUCUAGUAGUGUCUUGACCAUAUCACAACACAACAUGCCCUGCAAAAAUAAGUUAGGUAUCAUCUACUUUGUUGUUGCAAGUUUUAUGUGGCUGCUACGGCUUACCUAUGGCAAAAAUCACAACGGUGUUUCAUCAAAUUUGCUAUUUUAACCUUCUUCAAGGAUCGGCCGUAGUCAAAUUCGAUUCAACUAAAGUAGGAGAAACAGACAUCCGCCGGCCACCUUUAUGCAAAACUAGUUGCAUGUCUGUCGGUGGAACCGGUCUCAUAUGCGUGGACAUGUAAGGUUGGUCCGGGCCACUUCAUCCCACAAUACUAUCGAAUCAAAAUAAGACGUUGGUGGCAAGCAGUAUAACUAUCACCGCCCACAACUCUUUGUGUUCCACUCGUGCAUAUCAUCUACGUAUAGACCUGGCUCUGAUAUCACUAUUGGAAAAUGUUGCAUGGAAAACAAAAAAAAUUCUACGCACACGCAAGAUCUAUCAAGGAGAUGCAUAGAAACGAGAGGGGAGAGUGUGUCUACGUACCAUCAUAGAUCGUAAGAAAAAACGUUCACAACGUGGUUGAUGUAGUCGAACUUUCUUCAUGCUCCAACUGAUCUAGUACCGAAUGCAUGGCACCUCUGUGUUCUGCACACAUUCAGCUCGGCGACGUCCUCCGCCUUCUUGAUCCCGUAAGACGGCGAGGUAGCAGCACGACAGCGUGGUGCUGGUGAUGGUGAUGUGAUCUCCGCAGGGCUUCACCUAAGCACUACGAAAAUAUGACCGAGGGAAUAAACGGUGGACGGGGGUGCCGCAUACGGCUAAGACAAUGGUGUGUCCUUGUGUGGCGCCCCCNNNNNNNNNNNNNNNNNNNNNNNNNNNNNNNNNNNNNNNNNNNNNNNNNNNNNNNNNNNNNNNNNNNNNNNNNNNNNNNNNNNNNNNNNNNNNNNNNNNNNNNNNNNNNNNNNNNNNNNNNNNNNNNNNNNNNNNNNNNNNNNNNNNNNNNNNNNNNNNNNNNNNNNNNNNNNNNNNNNNNNNNNNNNNNNNNNNNNNNNNNNNNNNNNNNNNNNNNNNNNNNNNNNNNNNNNNNNNNNNNNNNNNNNNNNNNNNNNNNNNNNNNNNNNNNNNNNNNNNNNNNNNNNNNNNNNNNNNNNNNNNNNNNNNNNNNNNNNNNNNNNNNNNNNNNNNNNNNNNNNNNNNNNNNNNNNNNNNNNNNNNNNNNNNNNNNNNNNNNNNNNNNNNNNNNNNNNNNNNNNNNNNNNNNNNNNNNNNNNNNNNNNNNNNNNNNNNNNNNNNNNNNNNNNNNNNNNNNNNNNNNNNNNNNNAGGUGCAAGAAGGUAGCCUAGGGCAACCAGGGCGCGGCCCAAGGGGCUGGCACCGGCCCUAGGGCUCCUGCCCUCCUGCCCCCCCCCCUUCCUUGUAUGACCAAGGGAGAAGGAAAGAGAGGGGGAGAGGGAAGGAAGGGGGAGUCCUACUCCACACUUUCCUUUCCCUCCCCUCUUUCCUUCUCCUCCUCAUAGGGCCGGCCACUAUAGGGUUGUACCAACCCCUUGUGGGCUGGUGUGUUCCCUAUCUUGGCCCAUAAGGCCCAUAGCUUUGUCGGGGGUGCCCGGAACUCCUUUCUAGUGACCCGAUAAGUACCUGGUACCCCCCAAAACACUUCCGGUGUCCGAAUACCAUCAUCAUAUAUAUCAAUCUUUACCUCUCGACCAUUUUGAGACUCCUCAUCAUGUCUGUGAUCUCAUCCGGGACUCCAAACAACAUUCGGUCACCAAAUCACAUAACUCAUAUGAUACAAUAUCAUCAUCAAACGUUAAGCGUGCGGACCCUACGGGUUCGAGAACUAUGUAGACAUGACCGAGACACCUCUCCGGUUAAUAACCAAUAGAGGAACCUGGAUGCCCAUAUUGGCUCCUACAUAUUCUAUGAAGAUCUUUAUCGGUCGAACUGUUAUGACAACAUAUGUAAUUCCCUUUGUCCAUCGGUAUGUUACUUGCCCGAGAUUUGAUCGUCGGUAUCUCUAUACCUAGUUCAAUCUCGUUACCGGCAAGUCUCUUUACUCGUUCCUUAAUACAUCACCUCAUGACUAACUCCUUAGUCAUUUGCUUGCAAGCUUAUGAUGUGUAUUACCGAGAGGGCCUAGAGAUACCUGUAGAGCAUCUUUAUGAUCACCCAGUUACGUUGUGACGUUUGAUAGCACACAAAGUAUUCCUCCGGUAUUCGAGAGUUGCAUAAUCUCAUAGUCGAAGGAAUAUGUAUUGGACAUAAAGAAAGCAAUAGCAAUAAACUGAACAAUCAAUAUGCUAAGCUAACGGACGGGUCGUGUCCAUCACAUCAUUCUCCUAAUGAUGUGAUCCCGUUAUCAAAUGACAACACAUGUCCAUGGUUAGGAAACUUUAACCAUCUUGGAUCAACGAGCUAGUCUAGUAGAGGCUUACUAGGGACAUGGUAUUUGUUUAUGUAUUCACACAUGUAUUUAAGUUUCCGAUCAAUACAAUUCUAGCAUGAAUAAUAAAUAUUUAUCAUGAAUAAGAAAAUAUAAAAUAACAACUUUAUUAUUGCCUCUAGGGCAUAUUUCAUUCAGCUACUGUCCCCAUGCAUUUACAAAAAACACUCCAUACAUACUUGGCUGCAGAGCAACCAAAGAAAAGAUGGUUUAUAUCUUUAUUAUCAGGGAAGAAACUACACAGAUGAUCACCCACCCAUUUCCUUUCUAGCAUGUUAUCCAUCAUGGCUAUUGCAUUAUGCCAGAUUAGCCAUAGCCAAAAUUUGUUUUUUGGAGGAAUUUUGGCUUUCCAUAAAUGUUUAAAUGAUCUAUCAAGAUAUCUCUCAAAGAGAUGAUCAUAAGUCGAUUUAGAAGUGAACUUUCCUUUACUAUUCCUUUCCCAAAUUGGAACUUCCUCUCCUACAUCAUCAAUAGACACUUGUAGCAGGAUUCUUCUCAAUCUAUUCAACUAGAUCAUCUGGUCUGCAGAAAGUCGUCUUCUAAAAUUAAAAUUACAGCUUUUGCCAGUCAUAUCUAUCACACAGACAUUUUGUUCCAUACACACAUGACAUGUCUUCAUCGUAUCUACUUUUCCAUACACUUUUGCUCUUGUUUUGGACUCUAAUUUGCAUGAUUUGAAUGAAACUAACCCAGACUGAUGCCAUUUUUAGUAGAACUACCAUGGUGUUGUUUCUUGUGUAGAAAUAAAAGUUCUCAGAAUUGGAUGAAACUUUUUGAGUUUUUUGACAAAAUAUAUAAAAAAUACUGGAGCGAAGAUCCACUAGAGGAGGGCCACCAGUUGCCCACAAGACAACGGGGCGCGACCACCACCAUGGGCGCGCCGUGUUACCAAGUGGGACCCACGUGGCUCCACUGACCCUAAUCUCUAGUCUAUAAAUAUUGUCUUCUCGAGAGAAAAAAAAUAAGAGAAGAAGUUUCAUCGCGUUUUAUGAUACGGAGCCACCGCGACCUCCUGUUCUUCAUCGGGAGGGCUGAUCUAGAGUCCAUUCAGGUCUCCGAAGAGGGGGGGUUCAUAGCCAUCAUCAUCACCAAUCCUUGUUCUUCGCCAAUUUCAUGAUGCUCCCCAUCGGGAUUGAGUAAUUCCUUCGUAGACUUGCUAGACAGUGAUGGAGUUGGAUGAGAUUUGUCAUGUAAUCGAGUAAAUUUGUUAGGGCUUGAUCCCUAGUAUUCACUAUGUUCUAAGAUUGAUAUUGCUAUGACUUUGCUAUGCUUAAGGCUUGUCACUAGGGCCCGAGUGCCAUGAUUUUAGAUCUGAAUAUAUUUGAGUUAUUGGUCCUAUCUUGCAAGUUGUAUGCACCUAUUACGUGUUAUGAUCCGCAUAUACCCCAAGGUGACAAUGAUUGGGAUUCUUUCUGGUGAUUACGAUACUAUGAGGAGUUCAUGUAUUUACCAUGUGUUGAUGCUUUGUUCCCGUUCUAUACUAAAAGGAGGCCUUAAUAUCCCUUAGAUUUCCUUACAGACCCUGCUGCCACGGGAGGGUAGGACAAAAGAUGUCAUGCAAGUUCUUAUUAUAAGCACGUAUGACUCUAUACGGAAUACACACCUACAUUACAUUGAUGAAUUGGAGCUAUUGUGUACGGCUCUAGGUUGUGACUGUUAUAUAUGAUGAAUGUCAUCCAACACAAAUAUCCAUCAGGAUCCAAUGUCUAUGCUUUUCGCAUAUUGAUCUUUGCUAAGUUACUUUCGUUGUUGUUGCUGCUACAAUCACUACAAAACUGCCAUCGUUACUGUUACCACUACCAUUUUUAAUGUUACUGCUCGUAAUAAACUAUCAUUCUAGUGUGCUACUAUACACUUUGCUGCAAAUAUUUAGUUCUCCGGUGUGGUUGAAUUGAAAAAUCAACUGCUAAUACUUGCAAAUAUUCUUUGUCUCUGCUUGUGUUGAAUCAAUAAAUUUGGGUGAUGUAACAUCCUGGUUUUUUCCCUUUCUUUUUCUUUUGUAUUUCUUUGAGAUUUUUAUUUGGAAUUCCUUUUCUGUGGCUUUGUGAUCUUGAAGCUUGGGAAGAUCAUCUCUUCUUACUUCCCCAAGUGUCUUGUCAUCCCCAAAUCCAUCCAAGACCAUGUCAUUUCCAUCUUAGCCCAAACCCAAAUUCUUUUUAUUGGGAAUAUUCUGUUUCCUAUUAAAAAAAUAACCCUGUCUGCCCUAGGUUAUGGAGCAACCAAUAUUUCUGCCUUUCUCGAAUUUCCCACAAAAUUCUAUAAAUUCCUUUGGACCAUAUGGACCUUGGAUAUGUAAAAUAUUCAAUAUUGCAUGCUCAUGGUGAGCACACCAUCCAAUCUCUGAUUCUGGUCAUAUUUUUAGAUUGUGAAGCAACUAUAUUUUAUAUUGCUCCAUAACUUCUGAAAAUUUACCAGAGCAUCCUCAUACCUAUAUAACCCCUCUCCACUAAAUUUGAGCUCAUUUCAUCUAGCCAUUAAUUCUCAAUAUUUUCCCAAGAUUCUGUCCAAAGAAGAGCAUUGUGUAGGAAGUACCAUUUUUAUUAAUCCAAAUAGUAUGAAAUUAUUAUAGUACCUUCAUAUGCCCAAAUAACUCCUCUCCACAAAAUUUCAGCUCAAUCCAACACUCCAUUUGAGUGCAUCAUCCAAUUCCAUUUUCUGGAUCAGAUUGGUAGUUGUGAAACAACUAUAUUAAAUAUUGGUCUAAAUCAUCUCAAAUUUCACAGGAUUAUAGUCCUUCAUACCCUAAACCUCUAUGGCAUCUUGUUUACCUGUUUACCCAUUCCUUUUUACCUCAUCAUCUGGCCCAAGUUUGCUACAGAAACUUUAGCUAAUGCAUCCCAUCAACACAGAGUAUCUUUCUUUGAGCCAUCACUUCAUAGAGGUCCCAUUUGGGAUGGAUUACAUGCUUGACACGGUCAAACACGCUUAGUCACCAUACAUGUGUCGGCGCACGCGGUGACCACGCAGUCUGGCAUGCCAGACGCGCGCUCUGCUCAUUUAGCCGUGCCUAGAGCAUCGUUUAGCUCCGACCCCUCCUCUGCUCAUCAUUCUCGGGCGCCCCAUCAUGUCCCAGAGCUUCGUGGCAGCCAUGCGCUUGCUCUGGACCCCUCUCCCCCUCCUCUUUCCUCCCUAGUGCGCCACGACGACACUGCCCGUGACAUUGUGGCCGACCGGACUUCGCCCCUCCCGCGGCUGCUCUCCCUGCUCCCCUGGCACUCCUUUGGCUCUCUCAUGUCACCGUCCAAGCCUGCCCCCAAGCGCACGCAUACACGGUCGUGCCAGAGCCGCAGCCACGCGUCCACGGCAUUGUCGGCCCGGCUAUGUAAGCCAUCCCCGAGGCCCUACUAAUACUCAAUCAGCCUCUCCACUCCCCUCGACGCCUCCCCGACCCCUCCAUUCGUCUCUAGAGUUUUUCCUUGCUCGCCACAGCCACCAUGGGCCACUGCCCCUGCCGGCUAAAAUUCAAGCGAGCGGAGCCCUCCCUCUCCACUCUGCCACCACCACAGACCUCCACCUUCACCAUAGAUCUCGCCCCGCAGCCCCUUUCUUCCUCCAGUGCCUUGUGACAUGUUUCCCAUCAUCGGUCGACGCCACUCUACAGCACGGCCAAGGCCCUCCUUGUUCAUGGGCUCACCGGCGAGCGUGUGCCCUCUAGGCGGGUGCGCCUCAUUCCACUGAGCACCCGGUGGCAAGAGCUCGGCCAGAGUGGCCGGGCCGCCGAAGGUCGCCAUCGGAGCACGCGGCUGCUCUCUGUCCCGUGGGCGAGCACGUGGUUGAAGAUGACAACUCCCCUGCCAAUGGGUCCCGCACGUUGGCCUCACGCGUUGACUCAGCUGACCCGGUGAUGUGGAUAAGUGAAGGUGUACUUCGUGGUUUGCGUUUUCUAUAGUUGAAAGCAUAUUUCCCUGCCGCAUAGAGCUAAAAUACGUCUUCUGUGUAGGAAAGCGUAUUUCCAUAAGUACAUUUUCUUUAUUCGGUCAACGGCCAAAACCCUUAUAUUGUGGAUGUUCGUCCGUUAAUCGUAGAAAUGGACCGUUUUUUUAUUUUUCUGCCUAAAGAACGAACGGCCGUAUCUUUGCAACCAUAACUCCGAAUCAGGUGAUUCCAAAUCCCACAUUCUUUAUUCAUCGAGCCUGUUCUGUUGGUGCCAUUUUCAUUAUGUUUUCAUAAUCUAAAAAUGGCCAUUUUGCCCUUGCCCCUUAAUCAGCUCCGUUGAGAGGGAAAUUUUUCCGGUAAAUCUUUCCACAAGUAGACCGUACUUCUUCCCGAUGAAUCCUUCAUCCCCAGGCAAGCCACAAUAGCCACUUGCAUGAUGGCCUUGAAGUAGCCAUGGUUUUCCAAUUGAAUAUUUAAAUACUUUGUGCAUGUUAACAUUUUGUGGAUGUUUUAUAUGCUUGUGAAUCCAUGCUUAUUCUCAUGGUGUAUUUGUAUCUACCUAGUUAAAUGAUUAAAUGCUAAUGUCAUUAUUGUCAUGUUUCAUCCUUGUAACUAUUUCAUUUGCUAGUGAUAAUGAUAUGCUCACAUGAAUAGUUAUCGUUUGUAUGCUAAUACAUGUGAUAUUCAUGAUCAUCACUAUGUCAUGCUCAUUUGCAUCCAAUAGCCUAAAUGGUUUAAUAUUGUUGCUUCAUAUGUUAAAUGGUUACCCAUCCUUGUCUAGGUUGUUAUCAUGCUCAUAUGCAUUGUCAUUUUAUCAAGUUAUUUUGUUAUGACUCAGCUCAUCAUCAUUCAAGUUUAACCGGACAGUAAUCAAACUUGAACAAAUCUAUUGGUUGGGUCAUGUGCUAUCAAAUCAAGUUGACCAGUGCAGCCACACUUGCCUUAUUGGGGGGACCUAAUUCGGUCUAUUGUCAUGCCUCUUGUCAGUGCCUCCAACUAGGAAAGGUUAUGUGUGCGUGCUACACUGAUUAGGUAGGCGGCCAUAAGCCUUGUGUGCCCGAGUUGUUUUAGGUGCCUUUGUCCCUGUUUGAGACAUUUUUAUUUUAGUUUGGCCACGACGGUGGUCGGCCACGAGAGUGGUGGAUGUCAGUAGUUGGCAUCGGGGCCACCCAUGACUUAGCCCAAAGGGGAGUUUGUCGGAGUGGCCGGGAGAGUGUCAUGCAAUAGAUUGGUUUUGCCGGAAUGUCGUUGGUCCACCCAAAUGGGAGCACGAGGCCAUGAAUUCCAUGGUGUGGAUAGUGUACUAACCUCUGUAGAGGUAUAGUCUAUCGAUAGCCGCGCCCUCGGUUAUGGGCCCAUUUUGUAGUAGGUCACACUAUGGGUCAAUAGUAAUAAUAAUCUGUAUAACAAACAAACCUAGUUCUAUGAGGAAAGAAUUUGGUUGAUCUUUAUGUGAUCAUGUGUGGAUCAUGAUGGUAUCGUGGAUAGUGAUCUUGGUUGAUAAUAUGGUGAUCGCGUGAUGACCAUGGUGGUAAGUAAGAUUGAUAUUUAUGGUGGUUAUGAUAUAACCUCCGAGCAAAGUAAGUUGUUCCAUGAGACCUUAAACACCGACCCCCCUCUGUAUGAUAGGUUUUAGUAUCAUCAUGUUAAUAUCAUGAAUUAUGUACAUGCCAUGCUCAUGUUGUUCUAAUGGUAUCAUGUUCAUCAAUUUUUAACCUGUAAAUGCCAUGUUGUUGUUUGUCUUGAUUGUUUUGGUUGUUGUGAGCUUGCGAGUACAUUCAAAGUACUCACCUGGCAUGUCAUGCCAAAUUGCAGGCCUUGCAAUGAUUGAUUGCUUGUCGAGGAUCCCGAGUUUGUGAGCUAGGAUUGCAUCCUAGCCAGAGUCCCUCGGAGUGGAGUUCACCGCCGUCAUCGUUUUUCCGCUGCUAGAUGUUAUUCGCUUCCACAACUUGUUCCACUGAUAGCAUAGAGAUGCAUUAGCAAGCGUAGUGUCAUCAUGCCGAUGUAAUCCUUUGUAAUACAUGAACCCUUGUACCCAUGUUAUUUGCAAUAGAGAGCUGAUUUAUUCUAUUCCAAUUAGUGUCGUAUUCCAGAAGACUUGAUCUCUGGGCUGGAAUAUGGGGUGUUUUGGUUCCUCUGAGCCGGGGUGCCACAGGUGAAAUACUACCCUCAAAGACUGUCGCGCUCCACUAUACUUGUGUGUUAUCAACACACCAUAAAGAUUAGCAAAUUGGCAUCUUAGGACACCACUACUAAUCCUUCUAUCGUUCUAGAAGUCUGUUUGUUUUCCACUGACCACCUUCAUACUUCUCCCUCUCAAAUAUAUAUCUCUAAUCUUCAAGAAAUCAAUCCAAUAUGGGGAAUCUCUGGUAGUGAAUUUAACCUAUCUAAUUCCUUGGGAGAUCUUAUAUUUUUUUCCUAACAAUCUCCUACCAAAGCCCCUCCUUGCUUUCAAGUUCCACCACCAUUUGCACAACAGGCUGAUGUUGAACUUUUCUGGAUUUUUAAUCCCCAAACCCCCUUUCCUUUUUAUUCUACAGACCAUACUCCACUUCACCAGAUGAUAUUUCUUCUUGACACUGCUUCCUUGCCAAAAGAACUUCCCGAUUGCUUUUUCCAUCCUCCCCAAAUUUGUUUAGGGGAAUUUGUACAUAGAGAAGCCAAAUACAAGCAUGUUGGUCAAGCAAGCACCAGUCCUAAUCACUCUACCCCCAAGAGAUAGGUCACCUGCUUCCCAUCAUUCCAAUUUAUAAUACAUGCACUCUUCUAUAGGUAUCCAGUCUUCCACAUGCAGUCUGCUACCAAAUACAGGCACACCCAGAUAUUUAAUGAGUCAUUUCCCUUCUUUGCAAUUCAGCGUCUCAGCAUACCUUUUUUGCUUUAGAUCAUCAUGUAUAACCAUAAUCACUUCACUUUUUUGGAAGUUAAUUUUCAACAUAGACAUUUGCUCAAAUAGAUAAAGCAAUAACUUCAGGUUCCUCACAUCCUCCAUCUUAUCUUGCAACAGGAUGAUGGUAUGAUCAACAUAUUGUAGGAUGGCAACCCCCUUAUCAAUCAUAUGAGGAAUAAAACUAGUUAUAUUCCCAUUCUCCUGAGCCUUUUGAACCAUUCCUUGUAAAUAGGUUGCAACUAUAUUAAAGAGGAAAGGAGACAGGGCCCCCCUGCCUCACCCAUUUAUAAUUGCCAAAAAAUCCCUACACAAUCAUUUAUUUUUACAUUGAGAUUUCCCCCUUUCACCAUAGUUGAGAACCCAUCCCAUCCAUUUUUCAUUGAGUCCCCUAUCUUUUGAGCACUGGAAGAGGAAUUCCCAAUUUAACUUUAUCAUAUGCCUUCUCAAAAUCCAGCUUCAGCACUACCCCCUAUUGUUUCUUCACCUUAACGUCAUGAACAACUUCAUGUAAGGACAUCACCCCAUCCAUAAUAUUUCUCCCCCUAAUGAAAGCAUUCUGACUUAUUUAUAUGAGCUUUUUCAUAUAUGGUUUGACUCUAUCACCCAAUGCUUUAGGGAACAUCUUGAAGAACACUGGCAGCCAAAAGACAUAUAGGCUUAAAUUUUUGUGUUGUGUCAGCAUCGGCUCCUUUUGGUAGCAAGGUAAUCACUCCAAAUUUUAUCUGAUAUAAAUCUAAUCUCCCUUCAUAGAAGUCAUGGAAACACAUCACGAUAUCAUAUUUCACAAUAUUCGAACAAGCCUAGUAGAAUUCAAUAGGGAACCUAUCACACCGUUAGCUUUAUUCUUUUUAAUUCCAUCAAUCACCGCUUUCAUCUCCUCUUCACAGAAAGGUCUAGAUAACUUAGCCCUAUCCUCUAUGUUAAUUUCUUGGCAUCUGUCCACACAUCUUCUCUGAGACAACAUUUAAACGCUUCAGCAGGACUAAAGAAUUUCUUAUAAUAAGUAGUAGCAUGGUCAACCAGAGCCCCAGUCCCUUGAAUCAUUAUGUACCCAUGCUUUAAGAAAAAGAUUUUCUUCCUCCUUUUUCUCCCAUUAGCAAUUCUAUGGAAGUAUCCAGCGUAAUUAUCCCCUUUCAAUAACCAGUCCUCACUUGAUCUUUUUUGCCAAUAUUCUUCUUCUUCCAAUAGAUUACACAAGGAGCUUUGUAUAAACCUUCUUCUCUCCAUCUACUCUCUUGUUAGAGUUUGGAUCUCUUCCAGCUCUUCUAGAUCUUUCAACUCAUCAACCCAUUUAGCUUUUGCUCUCAGUGUGUGCCCCCUUCUAUUUUUACCCCACCCUUUCAAAUAGAUGCUAACUUCCUUUAAUUUUUUCUGCAUUACCUCCAAACUGUCGUUCGCACAAAUGGGUUCACUCGAUAUUUGUUCCACUAUCCCCAUGAAACCUCCCUCCGCAACCACCCAGUCUCAAAUCUGAAGGAUAUUUUUUAUUUCCUUCUCCUCCAUUGUAUCCAUAAUCAAAGGAUUAUGAUCAGAAACAAUUCUUGUUAGUUUAUGCACAUUUGUAGGGAAAACAGUUGUUCCCACCCUUUGCACAUGAGUAUUAUGUACAAUUUCUCCAAGUUGGGAUUCUAUUGAUUACUGGACCAAGUAAAAUCACCUCCUGCUAGGUGCAUUUACCUUAACUCAUAUAAGUUGAUAAUGGGGUUGAAUGUAUCCACAUGUUUGCCCCCAUGAAAGACUUAUUUUUCUCUUGAGAGGAUCUCAAAAGGUUAACACCCCUAUUAUCGCAGGGAUUCUUUGACCAUAGAACAUUGCAGCUAGUUCAGUAAGGAACUCCUGCUUGUGUUCAUCUUGAGCAGCUCCAUACACUAUCACCAUAGCCCAACGAAUAGCAGUCCAGUAUCAAAUAGCUGGAUAAAAUCCCCUUGAGAUGAUCAAGUGAUGUUAAAUCUACAAGAUUUAACACCACCAAGGAUCCCUCCAGAUCUCCUGUUAGUAGGUAACCAAUGACAUGAAAAUUGACUAAGAGGGUCAAUCUUCCUAAAAAAAAGCUAGGAGGAUAUUUUUUGUCAUAGUUUCCUGGAGCCCUACAAAAUCCACAUCAUGAUCCCUCAUAUUUUCCUACAAAUAUGUGACCAACCCUUUUUUCCCACACCCCCCACAGUUCCAUAUAAGGCCUAUCAUUGAGAAUAGGUAUUUUUUUUCUUUUACCCCUCUCUUACUAGUAGCCCCCCCUCAUGCAAAGGAUGAGAAGGUCCUUUUAUCAUACCUUGUUUAACCAUUCCCCUGGUCACCAUUCCCCCAUUUUUCACAGGCAUUGUCUUGUCCUUUCUCAUUUCAUCCUUUCCAUCUUCUUCCGCUUUUUGAGGUUUGAUCUAGAUAGCAUCACAGUAAAGGAAUUUUCCUGCAUUUAUUUGUCUUCAUUCUCCCAAUCUAAAAACUUGACAUGACUCUUCUGUCUCUUCUUAUCCAACUCAUUUUAUUCUCAAUGUUAUCCCUAGAAUCUCCAAAUCACAUUAAUAAAUGCAAAGUAUUAACAUCAACGCCUAAUUCAAGAGCCGUAACUACACCAUCAUGAUUGGAUAAAACAAUAAAAGAGUUGUCAUCAUUUUAUCAUACCUUCCCCUUCUUGUUGAGAUUUUCUUGUCUCGGCUUUCUUCCUCAUGUCUUUAGCAUCAUUAUGCUGAUCUUCAAUCCUUGAGCUCCUUCUUGUUGGGGCAGUAGGUGUUUCAUCUCUCCCUACUGUGACAUUUUCCAUCACAUUUUCACCCUCCUCCACCCGUGAAUCAAUAAUAGCAGGUUGAGAGCUAUGAAGAGGUAUUGACUCAUGUGAGUCCAGAAUCUUGUGCACCCCUUCCACCCCUACACCAUCAAUCACACUCGACAUAGUUUGUUCCUGCUCAGCAUCACUGUGGUUAGAUUCAUCCUGUUUUUUUUUUCUCAUGUUCAUUUUCAUUAUUUUUCACAUCCUGGUCCCCUUCUUCCAUAGUCCCCAAGAUUGUUUGAUAUUUAUUUUCCAGUUAUCACAUUUAUCACAGUUGGUCUUGGCUAUUUGUUUGAUCAAAUUUGGGAUUGACAUCUUAUCACCAGGGUUUUAUCACACCUCCAAUGCCUUGUUGUAUGGUAGCCAAGGCACCAAUCACUUCCCUAUAGACCUCAUCCCCUCAUCCAAUUCAUUCUUGUUGGUUGUCAUAGAUUCUACUAGAUCCCCUGCAGGUACAUGAACAAGUGGGACAUUGUCACUCUAAGAAGAGCCCCAUGUUUUUCCACCUCCAUGUCACCAAGUUUCCCUCGGAAGGCCAAAUUCACUUUGGCUCCAAAUGAUAUACUCCCUCCAGUAGCCCCAAAUACCUGUCUAUUUCUAUUUCUGGCAUCCCUCAUGAAUCCAUUUCCUCUUCUAUUUUGAUCAUUCCUUUUUCCUAAGAAGAUGAUGUACAUGAGAUGGUAUUAAAAAAUACUAAAUGGGAAGGUAGGCCAGUGUGCUUUGAGAUUGUAACGUCCACGUGUCUUUCAUUGGAGUGGGUAUAACUCCCAACAAAUGAGACUUGGUGUCACAGAUUUUUUUUCUCUGGCUAGUAAGAUGCAACACUAAGGGAUCUGCUAGCGUUUAUAGUCGACGAUUCACGUUUAUCUCGCGCAAGCGCAGCGGCACAACAUCAGAUCCAGAAAAACUCGCACCAUGGAGUUCCACUUCCGCGCUGGCGACGAGCGUUAUCCGCCGAUGGAGGUCGCGGCUAUGUCGGCCAACUCCGAGACUGCAGGUAAAGUCUCCUCGCUGAUGACGGCUCUUGGCUCUUGAUGCCUCUCUUCCACUGAUCUUAUUGCCUUUGGUUAAGCCACGCGCGUGCAUGUCGGACUCAUCGGCGGCGACGACGCUGGGUACCACGGGGAGAUCUCACCACCACUGGUGUUAGAUCUGGAUGAGCUGCAACGCCGGGCGACAAAGGAGAGGAUAAGGGAACGGAUCCUGCGAGAGGAGGCGGAGGCCAUGGCGCUCGAGGCCGAGGUCCGCCGUGAGCUCAUGGAGGAGCGUGCCAGUUUGCUCACGGGGCUGGCCGGCGGGUCGGAACAUAGGGCGGUGCCCACGGUGGCAUCGGUGAAGACGGUGGUGCCGUACUUUCAUGAGGUUUGCUAAUCUCGGGAUUCAACCUUCUGCUGCUCUAAGGAUUCAACCUUUUGAAUCUAGGUCUCCAACUCUUUUUUAUCCCCUAACUUUUCCAAAUUAUGUGUUCUUCUUCAAUCUGUGCAGGCCGGGUCGAAAGUAGAAGUCUCUGCUGUUGUGCCAGGCAAGCAGAAAAACCCUGAUGUACAUGAUACAUCUGCUGUUUUGGCGGCCACGGGAAGCAAGAAGCCGAAGCCAGGUCUAACUUGCACAGUGUGCGACAUCGCGGCAACCAGUGAGGUUGCCCUGCAAGAGCACCUCAGAGGGAAGAGCCACGGGAGGAAGGCCGCUAAACUUGCGCAACCAUUGCCUGGAACAGGUCAACCAGUGGAGGAUGCGGUAAUAAAAAGCAGCAUAUAUACACAUUUCAGUUUGAUAUCUCCGCACUGAAAUACAAAAUUCAAAGUGUUGUUUCCUUUAUGAUGUCCAAUAUCUAAUUUGUCGAACUCAAUUUGAAUCUUGUUCUUUAGGUGAAACAAAUUUGGAAAUAACGCUCAAGCGUUCAUAUGUGAUGUUAAAAGCAUCAUAAUAUCUUGCUACUGCAUAAGUUAUAUGGAUCUCCGAAUCAAAUUGUCCUAAAUUGUGUUUUCAUUUGAAUUGUACUGGCCUUACAUCUUCAUAUUCAAGUAUAUAUGAAUUCAUGUUUGUUUUGAAUACAUGAACACGUAUGUUGUCUGGGCUUGAGUUCAUAUCCUAGGCUACUGCAAUUCUUUUUUGUUGAUACCUUGAUGCCCUACUAAUAAUGUCGUUGUAUUCAGUCUUCACUAGUAUUCUUGAAUUACCUACAUUUUACAGCCUAGCUAGUUAGAGUGGCUUGGUUAGAUGUAACGUGUGACACUAGUAAAUCACACAUCUUGAGGAAAAUAAAUAGGUCUCAAUUGCUUCUGAUACUAUGAAUACAUACAACAAUUCUAUAUAUCUAGAGAGAUGUAUAUAUAUUUGGUGGUAAGACUUGCAACAAUCCAAGAUAAAGCUUUACAUGUCAUGUUGUUACCAAAUACAAAUAAUUCAUACUAACCUUCUACAAGUUUUUUCCUUUCAAUAGUAAAAUAGAUCCACUGAUGGUGGGUNNNNNNNNNNNNNNNNNNNNNNNNNNNNNNNNNNNNNNNNNNNNNNNNNNNNNNNNNNNNNNNNNNNNNNNNNNNNNNNNNNNNNNNNNNNNNNNNNNNNNNNNNNNNNNNNNNNNNNNNNNNNNNNNNNNNNNNNNNNNNNNNNNNNNNNNNNNNNNNNNNNNNNNNNNNNNNNNGAGAUCCGUGUAACAUCUUUUAGGUUUGCCAUUGAUUAAUCUUUUGUUUUUCUAAUUGCACUAAGACGAGUUCUUAGCAUUAAGUAGUAACAAGGUUAAAUGUUGAUACUAUGUAUACAUAUGGAUCUUUUUUGGGGAAUCUUUUUUGAGUUCAUGGGGAACUUCUUUUAGGCAUAUAAAUCUUAAUCAUCAACCAACUUUUUUGUACUUUUAUAGAAAGUUAGUAACUUAUACUACUUUUAUACUAUUAUGGAAUUUUGGUUAAGUAUUCAUGAUCUGACAUUUUGAUACCACUAGUCUGACAUAUACUCUGUUGGAACCGUAUUAGUAUGAUGUUAGCAUGCUUCAUUAACUGCAUCCCUAUGAAGGAAUGAUGAUAGCAUAGUGUUUGCAUGGAUCACGAGGCAUGCAUUGAACCGAGAUAACAUGGGGUGGCACUGCCACCAGAGGGGUGGCAUAGUCACCGGGUGUUAAAAAUCCACAUAAUANNNNNNNNNNNNNNNNNNNNNNNNNNNNNNNNNNNNNNNNNNNNNNNNNNNNNNNNNNNNNNNNNNNNNNNNNNNNNNNNNNNNNNNNNNNNNNNNNNNNNNNNNNNNNNNNNNNNNNNNNNNNNNNNNNNNNNNNNNNNNNNNNNNNNNNNNNNNNNNNNNNNNNNNNNNNNNNNNNNNNNNNNNNNNNNNNNNNNNNNNNNNNNNNNNNNNNNNNNNNNNNNNNNNNNNNNNNNNNNNNNNNNNNNNNNNNNNNNNNNNNNNNNNNNNNNNNNNNNNNNNNNNNNNNNNNNNNNNNNNNNNNNNNNNNNNNNNNNNNNNNNNNNNNNNNNNNNNAGUUUUUUUCAUUUGCGAGAGAUAAGACUAUUUCUUAUAUGUGUGAAUUGACCGGUGUUUGUGUUUGAUGCAGUUCAGCUUGAAGGUAAAAGGGUCGGCAGCCUUACCGGCCAAGGGGACAAACCCUGGUGUUGUUGACGCUUCGAUGGCUCUCGCUGAAAAGAGUGGUGACAACUUGGGCUUGAACUGCAUGGUCUGCGGCAUCACAGCAAGCAGUCAGAAGAACAUGCAAGAUCACCUCAAAGGGAAAAUUCAUAUGAGGAAGACUGCCAUGCUCGCGCAACCAUAUCCUAAGGAGGAUGGGGUAAGGAAUAUGGUUUAGACUUUGCCAACCCUACCCAAAUUCAACAAAACAAUAUAUAUGUGUGUUUUACUGUAGCAUGGUUAACUAUAAUAUUCAUAAGUUCAUAUGAAGCUACUUGAAUCGGUUGUCUUUCCAACUCAUUUAUUGACCACAAUACUGCCUCCUUACAAAUAUGUAACACCCCCUCAAAUUAUGAGCGUAACUUUGACUAAUAAGAUCUGAGUUGUAUGCCACAAAAAAUAUAUCACUGAUUUUGUAUCUGAAAGAAGUUUCAAAUGCUAUAGUUUUUGUGGCAUAUAGCUGAAAUUUUAUUAGUCAAAUUUAUAGUUGAAGUUAGGCUGAAAGCUAGAGAGGGUCUUAUAUGCUUGAAAGUAGGUAUUAUUCUGAUCCUAUUAGUGUAAAGUGCUCGUUCUUUUGUAUACAAAAGGGCCCAAACUGCAAAUCAAGUAGUAAUACAUGGCCAAAGUGUAUCAUGAUUUCUGGAACAUAAAGAGGUCUCAAAGGCUAUUUAAGCAUGAUUGCUGAGAAACCAAUUUUAUAUGUUCUUACAACUGUCUUUGGUGCUAAUUUCUAGUCUAGUAAAAUGUUUGCAUUCUUCCAUUAUCUUUGAACAUUGAGAGGCGCGAGAAGCACCGGAGCUUGCGAGAAGAGAUUUUCUAAACCUAGGAACAUAUGAACCCUAUAGCCUUAUAAGGCUAAAGAAGUUUGAUAAAAUACACCGCAUGAGACAUGUGGUUAGCAAAAUCAAAAUACAUAGAGGAUGGAUACAAGUAUAUGCAUCUAAAAUUUAAAACUUAAAUAUGACCUUACACUGUUCCUUGUUCAUCUAGGUCUCAUAGAGUCCUAUUUAAGUUUUAAAGUUUGCACGCGCAUACUUGUAUCCUUUCCUAAUUGCACGAUUUAUGUCAUAUUUUGCUGAAACUUAUGUGCAUAUUUUUAGGGUUUAUAAGGUUCAGAUGUACUCCCUUCAUUCCAUAAUUCUUGUCCUGGUUUUAGUUCAAAAACAUAGAUUCAUCGUCAAUGCCAGUUCAAAGACUUGGUAUUUCAGGAGAUUCCACUAUCAAUGUUGCAGCGAGGGAUGUGCCACUAGUGUCUUUCCAAGUUUUUUGCUAGUGCCAUCUCAGUCCUUUUCCUGUCAAUCUCUCCUUCCCUGACCAUGUGAUGUUUUGGUGUUGCACUCUCCUUUCAAACCUUGGUUGGUUUUAUCCGGCAUUAUAUUUUGACAUCUUAUCAUUUCUCAAGACGUGAUUGGGAAAAACCCAACCAAGGUUGAUCGUCUGAACGGUCUGAAAAGACAGCAGAACAUGAAACAUCACAUGGUCAGAGAAGGAGAGAGUGACAGAAAAGGGACUGAGAUGGCACUAGCACAAAGCUAUGAAAACAUUAGUGGCAUAUGUCUGAAUACACCAUUUUUGUUUCAAAGUGUGAUUUUGCCUCUGUUCUUCCUCAGGUCUCCAUAACCUAAAUGGGUGUCUGCUUAGUGGAGUUUGUGUUUUUUCAUGCAGGUCUGCUCAAAAUCAAAUGCAUCAGCAGCCAUGCUACCGGCCAAGCGGAAGAACUCCGACGUUGUCCCAGCCGCAUCCACCCUUUCAGCUGGGCCAAGCAGCAAGAAUCAGAAGCAAGAUCACCGCAAAGGGAAGGCUCACAUGAAGAUGGCGGCCUCGCUUGCGCCUGGAGAAGCGGAGGAAGAGGCAGAGGUGGAAGGCGGCUACACGCCAUGGAAGUUCGAGAUGGUGACCGAAUCCGGGACACUGUGCGAGGUGGUGCAGCUGAACGGCUCCAUCCUCUGCGAGGUGUGUGACCAGCAGGCCCCGGACCGCGUCACCAUGAUGUGCCACCUCCAGGGGAGCAAGCACAUCUCCAAGCAAGCCAAGCAGAAGCAGUGCGAAGCCGUGGAACCACCGGCUGCCGUCGCUGCUGAUGGCGAUGGGCCAGGAUCAGAAAUGGUGCCCAUGGAGGCCAAUGGCGUGGGCCGGGUGGACGGUGGCUCCCUGCUGUGCAAGCUCUGCAACGUGAAGGUGGCGUCGGAGUGCGACAUGGAGUCUCACUUGUCCGGCAGGAAGCACACCAACAAGGCGAAGGUGGCUGCAGUUGGUGUCGGUGCAUGUGGCAACGAGUCAGGAUCAGAAACUGUGCCCAUGGAGGCCAAUGGCGUGCGCCGACUGGAGGGCGGCAUCCUGCUGUGCGAGCUCUGCGACGUGAAGGCCCCGUCGGAGUGCGUCAUGCGGACUCACCUGUCGGGCCGGAAGCACACCAACAAACUCAAGGCCGCCGCUGACGCCGGUGCAGGACAGGAGGUGAAGAAGGCCGCCAUGGUCGGCAGCUCAUCCAAGGAAGCCACCUCCAUCGUCGUCAACAGCAGCGAUGACUCAGUGAAGAAACCAGCAGCGGGAGAGAUUGAGGUGGUAGUAUCAUCGGCAACGCCUCAAGUGGACGUCGCCGCCCCGGUCUGCGCCCGUGUCUCCUUCGUGGCGCCCAUGGAAGUAGACGAAGGUGCUGCCAAAGCUGAAGAACAAGAGAAAGCUGAUGCCGAGGAAGAGGGAGCCGUGGAGAUCGACGGAGGCGCCGCCGUGACCGGCGAGGAGUAUUACAUCAAGGCGGAGGGCAAGCUGUUCGUCACGCUGCGCCAGGCGGACGACAGCCUCUCGUGCGGCCUGUGUGGCGUGCACGGCUGUGACAAGCGCGGCAUGAUCAAUCACAUCUACACCAGGGACCACUGGCGCAGAGCCCGUCUCGCCGAGGAGAAGGGGCGGGCGGUGACCAACAACGGCGCCGGCGCCAGCCCCGGCAUCCCGGUCACCGGCGGAGCGGCUCAGGUCGACAACUGACGGCAGCCGUGCGUGAAUUUGGGACGGCGAUGUGUGCUGAAGUUUGCUUUGAUAUACCUUUAUGUGUGUAUGGACCUGUUGAGACUCCAGUACAACUGUUGAACCCUCGUGUGGGUUAAGUCUCAAGUGUGAGUGAACUUGGAACCAUCUGAGCAUUUUCUGCCAGUACAACUUGUUUUAGACUUCAGUAGAAUUUGUUUCCAACUAUUUUCUGCCUGCAUCUUUUGGUAGUACUAUUUACUAACUUGUUUUCAAAUCAGCCAUACUAACGAUGCCUGGAGAAGAUCGCUCCCAGCCACACCAUUAUCAUGAUAACAUCAGUUUGAUCAAUAAUCUGGCUGCUGAUACAGCGCCCAUCAGGAGAAGGGAGAAGUUCAAAACAGCAGGGUUACAGAGGCGGGCAUGAUAAGGAUGUAAAUGAAUAAACAGAACUGCAGAGCCAUGCAUGAAAUAUUGCCAGCGAGAAGGGCCAGGGUUUUGUGCAACAUAAUACUCCCUCCGUUCGGAAUUACUUGUCAUAAAAUGGAUAAAAAUGAAUGUAUCUACAACUAAAAUACAUCUAGAUACAUUCAUUUCUUGGACGAGUAAUUCCGAACGGAGGGAGUACAAAUCAACACGCAGUGGCUAUUCAAGGAUGGCCUGUUGUCGAUAACAAGAUGGUACGGCCUAUUCAGCAUGUCUUUAUAAGGACUACUCUACAUGACUUCAGACGAAAGCUAGAAAAACUUUCUGCCCAAAAUAACCACAUCUUGUUUUUUACAUGGUUUAAAACCUUUCUGCUCUACUGGAUUUAUUGACGGUAAACAGAGCACAUUAUCUGAAGAAAGAAGUGCAAAAGUACAGUACAUGUACCCUCUGUUCAGCAGGCCAACAGACCGAAUGACAUGGACUAAAACGUGAUGUGAUACAUACCCCCAUCACAUGAGUUCAUCACAGUAGACUGAAUUGUCGAGGAAUGAAUUGUUUAUAGAAUGCUUGCUAGUCCUUCCUUCUUGGCAGCCGGCCUGUUCCCAGGGAAUGCAGUGCGGGAUACAUCAACGAGGGCCUUGAAGCUGUAUGGCUCAUGCAUCGACAGCUCCGAAAGUACCUUCCUGUUGAGUUGGACGUUCUCCUUCAUCAGUCCAUGCAUGAAGUUGCCAUAGUUCACCUGGGCAGUAAGUUCAGACAAUACAUCAGACACAUGUGUGUGUGUGCGUACAGUAGCAAAACUAGAAACCCGGUAGCUUAUACUUUGUUAUCGUAUUCUGCUUGGUUUCUUUGGGAAAAAAAUUUAACAUGAGAAUGCAACAAAUUUCAUUUCAUCGUCAAACCUUGAAUGUAAAUAGAUACUACAUACCCCAUGGAGUCGUGUACCAGCAUUGAUGCGCUCGAUCCAGAGAGACCGCAUGUCCCUUUUCUUGUUGCGCCGAUCCCUGUAUGAAUAUUGCAAUGCUUUUUCUACACGCUCCCUGGCGAUUCUUAUGCAGUUUUUAGCCCUUCCUCGGAAUCCCUUGGCUAACUUAAAAAUCUUCCCCUUGUUCAUCUUUGAGAUCUUGGCUCACACAGUAUUUACUCCCUAUAUUCACAACAUCAAAGUAAGAAAUUGGAGCAAAUUAUGAAUUACUGUAAUGAAAUAGAAGUUCAGAGUACACGCCAAUACUUCAGACAUUUAUUCCUCGAGAAGGGAAUGCAUAUGAAUAAAACAUACUUAAGGACAGUUAUUUUCAGCCUAGACUUCUUCAGGAACCAGUUUAAGCUUCUCUACCCACAGGAGCUGCGGCAUAGAGAAGUCUAUAGACUGUAAGUAUCAGUUAUUCUGCCCCUUAGUUUAUUUUAUUUUCUGAUGAAAAGUCCAUGGACUGUAAUUAUGUGAAUCUUAAAUUAUAUUGUGUAAUUUCUUGCUGUGUUUAUCAUAGAUAUUAUUAACAUUAUAAAAUAAAUAAUACAACAAAAAUAAGAUGUAAUUUGUACUUGACAACAAGUUAGAUAAAAAGAGGUUGUGAAGGCAUUACAAGGGUUUCCCCCAAGAAAAGCAGUCACGAUAAAAACUAAUCAUCAAGGUACGACACUAGCAGCAAUAGCAUCAUGAACUGUGCCGACAGUCUGUUUUGAAUGACUCCACCUAUUUUUGAAUCGCUUACACUCAUAAUUUCUCUUUGUGUGCUCACUAAACUUGCUUAUCAAAUAAACAUACCCAAGUAAGUUCAAACAUCUGGUGGGACGGUUAUAUACAUGUACUUCUUCGAUACGCACAUCAAGAAAAACUAUAUGGGUCAUAGGAUCCAAAGUUACUUUCGCCUUUCCCAUUCUCGUCUAUGACAAAAUGAAUGUUAAAACUGGAUAUGUGCUUGUUUAGUGUCUACCAGAGAUGAAAAAAAAUUGCGCUAAAAUAGGAUCGGGUACUGUGUAGUACUGUAUUCCAAUCGACAGUUUCCACUUGGAAUUGGCCGUCAGAUUAAAAAAUAACGUGAAAAUUAUAGCAAAUGCAAGCAGCAGUAGAUGGUGCAAAUGUGUGAUCUGCUUGCUAAUUCAAAUCCUGCCACCGACAAAGAAUCAUUUCCAGCCAAUCCGACACUAUCCGGCGGCAGGCAAGGGGCGUCAAGGGAUUCGGACGGUCGCGAGCUACGGCAAACAAGCACGCGGAUUCAGUGGCAGGAGCCGGGCCGGCCAUGCCGCGCGCGGUGGAAUCAUACACACCUAGCACGCGCGAGCGGGAGAUGUACAUGUGUGUGCAAGCACGUACGUACCGAGAAGCAGGGAAGAAGAGCCGGUGCGGAGUCGUUCGGGGCGGAGCAGCUCGGAGUAGAGGGAGGCGACGGAGACCGGCGUCGGCGGCGGGCGGCGGGCGGCGGAGUGAGAGCUCGGGCGCGUGAGAGGAGAAACCUAGAGCUUUGUUUUCUGUGGAUCGAGCGACACGAAUGUGGGCCGAAUCAUUUUCUUGGGUGCCAAUCCGGCCCACAAGACGUCGAUAGCACCCGCGCCGCUCACAAAGACCGGCCCGUUUAGCUGCCGCGCUUGUACAUCACUAGCCUCACACACGUUCAACGCAACAAUAGGCCAGUCCAUAAAAUUAGCCUCGGACGUUUGUAAAUAAAAAAAGGAAAGCAGACAACGCUGUGUGCAUGCAGAAAAUCAAAUAAAAUUUUGAAAUAUUUAUUAAGUUUUUAUAUAGUUAAUAAAACUAAAAUAAAUGGUUAUUUAUGGAAUCAAAACUGCUCUCACACUUUUACAAAAUGUUCAUGUAAUUUAAAAUAGGUUUCUCAUACAUUAAAAAGUAUUAUAAAAUUUGUAAAAACAAAUCAUAUAUUUUUAAAUAAAUCAUGAAAUUUAAAAGUUUUUCUUACAUUCUAAAAUCAUGUACUCCCUCCAAUCCGAAUUAAUUGAAGCAACCUCUGUACAAUGUUCAUUAAUAAAGAAAUUGUUCACAUGUUUCUUAUGAAAAUUUUCAUAUGAUAUCAAUAAGUGUUCACGCUUUCAAGUAAGUGCAAUAAAUAAAUUCCAAUAAUACUAAAAAGUGGUGAUACAUAUUUCCUAAAUGUUCAUGUAUUGUUUUACAAAAAUGUUCUUGUCAUUCUAAAGAGCGAGCACGGGUGGGCCGAAUCGACGAUUGAUCGGCCCAGAUCUGAUUUCUAGGGCCCAGCUUAUGUUAGCAACGUCCAUUUUGAAAGAAAAGAACAUGAGGAAAGGAUGGGGUUGUUUGAGACUAUUCCACUCCACCAAAAUCAGCUUUAUUUCCUUUCAAAAAAAACUGCUUCAUUUCCAGUUCAAAAAGAAAAUCAGCCUCACUUCACUAUAUUCACUUUGGAGUAGUUCCACUCGGCUCGAGUUUCGAGAAUGGAAAAUUUUGGUGGGAAAGUUUUUUUUUUUGAGGAAUCUCGCAAUCUUUAUUCAAUCCAAGGAAACAGUCAUAGGUACAGUUUCUGGGUCAUGGGGUGUGCCCAACACACCCCAACCAAACAUGACGCCCUAUACCUAGCUUACAAGCAUAUUUUGCGAGAUUAUGAGCCUCGAAAUUGAAAUUCCUACGCUCAUGAACAAAAGAGCAAGAACUAAAAUUAUUAAAAUGACUCCUAAUUUCAUGCACAAUGGAUGCAUCCGGACCUCCGGUGCCCCUGUUGAUGUCGUUAAUCACCUCCUGGGAGUCCGAGGCCACAUAGAUGUUUCGCACCCCAAGGUCGUCAGCGAGUGCUAGUGCCUCCCGACAAGCAUAAGUCUCCAAAAGAAGAGGAUCCCCGUGUGUAGUGAUAAAUCACCGCCGACGAUCCCAAGUAGACUCCGUCCUGGUCCCGGCAUAGAACUGCCACUGCUCCUCCUCUGCUUCGCCUUGCCACCGCCCCAUCUACAUUGAUCUUGACGCUGCCAGCCGGCGGUCGAAGCCACCUCAAUGGCCUUUCUUGGGCGGGUAAAAUACGGGCUGGCUGAUGCUCCUGAGUAGUAAUGAGGCCAAGAUCGCUAAUGUAGUUGUUGACAAAGUUGACAGUCUGUUGUGGGCUUUGGAAGAUUGCUUCAUAUAUAGCUUUCCGACGAGCAUACCAAAUCGACCAUAGAGUGAUGACCAUACGUGUAAAGUUUACAUGGUCCAUCGACUCGUGCAGCUGGAAAAGCCAGAUUCUCGCAUCAGCUUCCUCGUUCUCGGUCAUGUUGGUUACGAUGGUGUCUUGAGUUAACGCCCAAACACACCUCGACAUAGUGCAGGAAACAAGAGCAUGUCUCCAUGAGUCCUCGCAGCCACACAGCGGACAAGCGUCGCGGGUCGACAUGUUCCUCCGGUUCAAAAUGUCAGUAGUUGGCAGUGAAUGGUGUGCCAACCUCCAUAAGAAGAUUCUGAUCUUUGAGGGAACUUUUAUUUUCCACAGCAUGCUCCAUGAUGCCUCAUCUCUAUCGGAGCUAGAUGUACCGCCCCGACCUUCCAACCAUUCCUCCCUCUGCAUUUUCGUUCGUUGCAAGAAUUUAUACGCCGAGCUUACCGUGAAAUUUCCCUUCUUCUCCGGAAACCAAGCCCAGAAAUCCUCUAUAUUGCGUGUGCAAACUGGUAUCCUCAAAAUAGCUUCGGCGUCGAUCGGUAGAAAAACCUGUCUAAUGACUCCUUCAUUCCAAGAUGCAGCAGCCGGUAGCAUUAGCUCGGAAACGUACCUAGGAGUGUCGGCCACGAGCGAAGUAAUCGGUCGUGGAAUCAUCUUUUUUGGUAUCCAGUUGUCAACCCAAAUCUUCGUCGUUUGGCCGUUGCCAAUCCGGCGAAUGAUUCCUUGCUUAAGCAGAUCGCGGCCCUCUAUGAUUGCACGCCAAAUCUAUGAUGGUUUUGAGCCCACCUCUGCCUCUAAAAUUGUUCCCCCGGGGUAGUAAGCAGCUUUCAAAAUUCUUGCACUCAGGCUCGUUGGUUCUUGUAGUAAUCUCCAAGCUUGGCGUGCCAACAGGGCCAAGUUAAACAGUUCAAGAUCUCUAAAACCGAGGCCUCCCAAGUGCUUUGGUCGAGUCAUGAUAUCCCAAGAAACCCAUGCAGGCUUUCGUUCACCUUGUUUGCAGCCCCACCAAAAUUUCCGGAUAAUAGAUUUUAUGUGGUUGCAUAAACCUCGUGGCAACUUAAAACAAGACAUAGAAUAGACCGGGAUAGCUUGGGCUACCGAUUUGAUUAGCACAUCCUUUCCGCCAGCUGAAAGGCACUUACUCAUCCACCCUUUCACCUUGUCCCAAACUCUAUCACUCAAGUAUUUGAAGGUUCCCUUCUUUGAGUGACCUACAUCAGUUGGCAUGCCCAGGUAUCUGUCACUCAAUGAUUCAUUUGGUACCUAGAGGAAGCCUUUAACAGCGUUGCGAACUAUCUCUGGACAUCCCUUGCUGAAAAAGAUGGAAGAUUUGUCCUUAUUAAUUCUCUGCCCCGAGGCCAUACAAUAACUAUCCAACAAGUUUGACACUGCUUCUGCUCCAUCAACGCUCGCCCUAAAGAACAGCAGGCUGUCAUCCGCGAAUAAAAGAUGACUGACCGCCGGUGCAGACGGUGCCACCUUAAUGUCGCUAAGCUGGGAUGACUGAUUCUGGGAUUUUAAGAGGCAGGAAAGGCCCUCUGCUGCUAUUAGGAAAAUGUAUGGAGAGAUCGGGUCUCCCUAUCGUAUACCUCGUGAGGGUGUAAACACCUCAGACUUAACGCCAUUGAACAUGACUGAAAAGGUUACUGAACUCACCAUAGUCAUCACAAUAUCAACCCAUGCUGGUGCAAAACCCAACUUGUGCAUAAUAGCUCUCAAGUAUGUCCAAUCCACACGAUCAUAAGCCUUCAUCAUCUCGAGUUUCAAUGCAGCAUAGCUAUUAUUCUUUGAUCUACUCCUCUUCAUGAAGUGCAGACAUUCAUAAGCUGAAAUUAUAUUGUCUGUUAUUAAGCGCCCUGGUACAAACGCCGAUUGCUCCUCGGAUAUGAUAUCCGGUAAUACCAGCUUCAGACGGUUUGACAAAACUUUGGAGGCAAUCUUGUAAAAAACAUUACAUAAGCUUAUCGGUCAGAAUUGAGAAAGCAACGUGGGGUUUUGUACCUUAGGGAUGAGAACCAACAAUGUGUCAUUUAUGCAUGCCGGAUUCUCUUCUCCUUUUACAAUUGCUAGCACCGAUUUAGUAACCACCCCUCCACAAAUAUCCCAAUGCCGCUGAAAAAAGUGUGCUGGGAAGCCAUUCGGACGCGGGGAUUUUGUGGGGAACAUUUGAAACAAAGCUUCCUUUACCUCUUUAUCACUAUAAGGUGCAAGAAGGGUUUCAUUCAUAGCAUUAGUCACUUUCAUCGGUACGUGAUCAAGCACAUCGUCCACCCCCUGAACUCCCUCUGAGGCAUAUAGUGUUUUGUAAAACUCGAGGGCCAUCUGUUGCAUCUCUGUUAAGUCGUCGAUCAUCUGCCCAUCCGGUCGUUGUAGCGCCUUUAUUAGGUUCUUCCUCCGGCGCAUUGAGGCUCUCAUAUGGAAAAAGUGAGAGUUUCGGUCCCCUUCCGAGAGCCACUGGACAUGGGAUCUUUGCCUCCACAUGAGUUCCUCCCGUAAGUAUAGCUCGAUCAGACGAUCAUUAAUCUUGACUUCCGCAUGCGAUGUCCCAACACGCGAUGCAUCAUUACACAUUCUUUCCGGCUCCUGCUUUAAACCUCUGAUUUCCCCUCGUACACUACCAAAUGUGGUACGGGACCAAUCACCCAAGUUGUUUGCAAGAGCCUCUAGUUUAGCCUGUACCUCAUGCACAUGCAAGUUGUGGCCGUUGGGCUCCCAGGCCGUUUUAAUGGUCGUCUUGAGCUCAGGGUGCCUGUCCCACAUGACUUCAUACCGAAAUUGAUUUCUCUUUUUCCUACUUCUCGGUGGAUAGAGCUGGACCAGUAUCGGCGAGUGAUCCGAUGUUGCGGCCGUCAAGUGCUCCACCGAUGCCGACGGAAAGAGGCCGCACCAAUCAACUGAGCCCAGUGCCCUAUCCAGCCGUACUCGGGUGUAGGAACCACCCGCGACUCUUUUUUUGAAAGUCCAUUUAGUUCCUUUGAAACCAAGGUCGACUAGACCGCACACAUCUACUGCGUCCCUAAAACCCUGAAUUUGAGACUAGCUUCUGGAACCAAUGCCGUCAUGCUCAUCAUGUUUCAGGGCUUCGUUAAAAUCUCCCACACACACCCAUGGUGGGAAAGGUGACUUGGCAAAAGAUGAUUGCUCCUUCCUUAUCAAUCCAGCGACUAUGUUCGAGCUGUGGCGGUUGGAGCCGCUGGCACGAGCGAGAGAUGUGGAUGUGGGAGAUGGAUUGGCUGCUCUGCGUCAUUGAUUCCAUCAUCGAGCUCACCCCGUCAGUCUAGUAGAUCCUCAAUGGCAGCGCCUAGCUCAUCUAGAUGACCACACAAUGAUAAAUGAGGGGACCAAGUUCUGCUACGUGGACAAGGGGGUCAUGGUCGAGGAUGAGGUGGGGGGGGGGGGUUGUGACCGUCGUCGUCCUGCGGGCGACCGUCGUUGGUGUGGCAAGAGGACAAGUGGUGGUUGUGGUGCCCGCGGGUGCCGCCCAAGCGGCUGCUUGAGGAGUCCAGGAGGAAGCUGCACCAGAGCAGGGACUGCGCGAACCAGGCCCCAUUGUGGUAUGCGCCAAUAAGACCACCAAAGGCAUUUGUGGCACUAGUGGUACACAGAAGUCAUGGGUGAUAAUUGGUCCGCUGCUUCGGGCAAAACCGAUUCCCUGGGUGUGACGAGCGGUGUUUUUUUUUUGAAAAGGGGGGACUCCCCGGCCUCUGCAUCAGAACGAUGCAUACGGCCACCUUAAUAAAUAAGCAAAUAGGUUCAACAAGGUCUUACAGUCUGAAACAAAGUCACGGCAAGCUCACAAAGAGCCACAACGCUAAAGACAAAAAACCAAGAGGCCACAACCGGCUAGCAUAACAAAGAUAGGAAAACUAAUCGCAUAUCCUAUUACAUGAUCGCCAUCCAAACCGAUUGAAGAUAUCCCAUGCUACCAACUCCCACCAGAUAGAUCCAGUAACCAAACGCUCCCUGGCCUCCGUCGGAGUGAGUAACGAUCACAUACGGAUCAGCGCAGUGGCUCGGAAUAUAACCUGCAAAAAAUGAAAAUUUGUUGUUCUGUUAAAAGCCAAAUCAUUUCUGCAGUUCCAAUUUGCCCAUAACAAAGCACAUACUCCUACGCGAAUGUGUCUAGCUGUUUCGGACUCUAUCCCAACAAGCCACGUUCCAAAUAACGUACUGACAGAAUUCCAAGGAGUAAUGUUAAAGGCAAUGUGCACCCUCUGCCACAAAACUUUGGCCAACGGGCAAUCAAAGAAAAGGUGUUUGAUAGUUUCAUCCCGAUCACAAAAACUUUGGCCAAUAUGCAACUGAAGUUUUCAUGUGUUUCAAAAUGUGUUAUGGCAUUGCUAGUACAGGUUGCUACUUUGCAUCGUCCACCGUUUCUAUUGUUGAAUCAUACGUGCUUUUUCAUCAUGCGGUUUCCAGACUUUUCUCGUUUCCUUUUUUUUCUUUGUAGAUUGGAACACCUUGCAUUCCAGAAAUUACGGUGGACCAGCCAAAUCAGCGGCCACAUCGCGGGUUACAUCGCAUGAGAAACGUGGCAACCAGACAUGUUGAUGUUGGCCAUCGAGGUAGUAGCUCCGGCAAUCAGAGGCAGCCAGCACAUGCAUGCGCUGGGGCAUUACAUGAUCUGGGACGUACAGUACACUACACUUUGGUCAAUGAAACCUAAUUGCAACUGGAAUUUCGCUUCUCUGAACAGCACACCUAGGAUCUGCCGUUGUGGAGGCAAUAGCCUGCUUCAGGGUAGGCAAUCCGUCUCAAAAAUGCACGACCCAUACCCAAUUGCUCCGCUAGCUCUAUGGCCUUGAGCAGUGUGAGGACGUCGGCUUGCAGGGCAUCAUGCAGGUUUUGCAGCGAUCCAGCCGCUGCCAUGAGAAUCACUCCAUCAGGUCCUCUGGCGAUGACGCCCCAGCCUCCCGGACUGGUAGCUGCAUGGAAGAAAGAAGCAUCAAGGUUUAUUUUGACCACAUCCAUGCAUGGGCGGUGGCGACCAGCGGCUCACGGAUUCCCGUUUUUCUCUUGUCUUUGGGCCUAAACAUUUUUAUGGUUUGCUUUAUUCCUCUUUCUCCACCUGGACCAAAGAAGAGAGAUCACCCGUAACACAGAUUCCUUAGCAUGAUUCUUGGUGGGUGAAACUCUAUAGGCAGAGCGACUUUUCUCGUUUCCUCUCUACUAUAUAUAGCUCUUUGUUUUGUGCAGACCACAGUAGCAUAGCAUGGUGUGCAUUUUCCAAAUCAUCCCCGCAUAUACUGCAUACUCGAUCAAGUUCAUAUCUUCUUUUGUUGGCAAAGAAUCAGUGGCACUUCUCCCAGCGUGAUUAUACAAAACAUCGAACCGUCAUUCGGAACUGCACCAAAACACCUAAACCAUGAUAGCUAAGCUCAAUGAAGGGACCAUACAGAUUGUCUCAAUUUGGAAGCAAGUCAGGGCCACUGAGUGAAGGGAUCAAUAGAAGAUAAGUUUUUUUUUUUUGGUUUCAGGGUAUCAAAGAACUUAUAUUUAAGAACGGAGGGAGUAUUUUUGAAAGGAGAAAUAACUAUCAACGCCUCGAGGAGAAACGUAUACACAGGCGAUUCUCAUUCCAGCUAAAUUCUCAACUUCUGAUGAAGCCAUGACUCUACACAGUUUCCGACAAACAACAAAUUCCCGCACAAAAAAUACUGGAAAAAGGGAAUAAGAAAUGUAUAUACAGGCGAUGCUCUCACAUAUCAUGAAUCAGGACAGGUACUCAAAAGGUUGGGGCGGCUGGGGCUCGUCGUCGUCGACGGCCAUGGCAGAGGCACCGGGCACCGGCUGCCCUGUCGCGGGGGCGUCGGUGAGCACGACGAGCUCCUCGGCCUCGCUGGGCUGCAUGUCUCGUAGGAGGAUGAACCCGCCGCAGGGGGCGGGCCUCACGGGGACGUAUCGGCUGCCCUCGAUGAACUUGAUGAACUUCUCCUGCAGGGGGACGACGCGGGCUGGGUUCGCCAGGAUCUGGAAGGCCGGUUCUGGCUCUGGAGCCUUCUUCUCUGCAGUGCUGUCCACCUGGGAACAAAGAUUUCAGAGAGACGGGUCAAUCCAAAUGAGGCAGACACUGGGGUGGGUUCAUUACUGAGCAGCACAAGGCUGCAUAUUAACAGCUAAGGGCCAAGGGCGUAGCUAUGUUGUACUUGCUGUGAUGUCUAGUCCGUAAGAGGAUGCUGAUACAGUAACCAAGAUGGUUGUGAUGAAGUAAAACGACUAGAAUGUGGUUUAAUUAAUUAUAGGCUGAACCUUUCGAAGUUUGUAAAAUUCUUGGGUGAUGGGAAGAGGGUGAAGCGAAGCACAGAUUAAAUGAAGUUUUAUUCUUACCUGCAUUGCAUCAGCUGCCUUGCCAGAAGUAGAACCGGAAGCAUCUUCCGUUGACUUCUCCUGGUUAGCAGCUUUGCUUUCUGCUUCUGCUGCUGUCUUCUCCUGGUUAGCAGCAGCUUUGCUUUCCGCAUCCUUCUUCGCCCUAGAUUUUGCCUUGGCAUAGGUUGACAAAAUGGCUGUGGGCAGCUCGACAGCCGAAGUUGUAGCCUGCUGGGUCGUCGGUUUCGGAUACUCAAAGAGGGACGGCUUAGCAUGUGACAUAAAUUCAAACUUCGGCACUUCCAGAUUCGAGUUGAGACCCAUGAUGGCCGUUGGCGAGAAGGCCAGGCUGAUGAAGUAUAGGAGAGGGUACCAGUACCAGAACUGGGUGAAAACAGCGAGGCCAAUCACAGCAGUGAGCUUGUCAUGCUUGUUCCUCGAGCGAAGUUUGAUUGUGACAUUCCUGCCACCGGCAUCUAGAAUGCCAGAAGCAAGUAUGGCGCCCAUUUUGCUCAUGGUGUCCUCGUGCUUGUCAAGAAUGAUCUUUUCCAACUGACGCCUAAAUGUUCCAACACGAGAAUCAAAGGACUCAUUAGUCUGGAUCAUGACCAUUGCCAUAGCAAUUAGAGCCCCCUGGCGUACGAAGUCAACAACGUCUGAUGUGAGAGGCUCCAACAAGGAAAUGGCAUCACUUAACCCUGUGCCUGCACAGGAUAUCCCAACAGCUAGGGCUGCACCAUAACGAACAUGUGGGUUGUACGAUUCAGAGAGCAGGGACACAAUUCUUGGAGUCUGCAUUAUCAGAACAGAAGAUGUAAGUUGUGGAUCAAAGCUAUUGAUGAUUCUUUAUUUUAGCAUUUUUUUCUAUUAGAUGCCAAAGAGGUGCAGCAGCAUAAAUGCAUAAUGAACACCAGGUCCAUGUUGUUCCUUGGAAUAAAAUUGAAUAGAGGGCAGACCUGCUCAGGUUCGUUGUAUAGAACAAAUCCAAGACCCAUAACUGCAGUCCUACGAACAUCAUCACUGACGUCCGAUACAGCGAAGUGCAGCAGCUGAUGGAUAGCUUUGUUGUUUGCAGUUCCUCUGUACGCUAGAGCCAAUGCAUACAUACCACCAUAACGUAGUAUGGGAUCUUGAUCUCUAGUCAUUUGUUCGAUCAAGGUGUCAGCUUCCUCCUCCCUGCCAUACAUUGUCAAUGCGAUGCCAAGUGCCAAACCCCUGCGGAGCGAGAGAGAAAGAUGUCAGAAACAAGAGCUAGAUGCAUCUUCAGAAAUACCGCAACAAUUAUUGAACAGCACUGACCUGAUAAUCUUUUCAUGCUGUGUAUCAUGUGCAUAAGCAAGCAUCUCACCGGCCUUCUCACUGGCUGUGCCAACCAUGAGCAAACCCAUGCCGAUACCAGCUGCUUCACCAGCUACUGCACUGUCUGUGUAAAGGACAUUCUUUAUGUCCUCAAACACUUCUUCAUCUGCUGUCCCGAGAGAUGCAAGCCCAAGUCCCAAACAGGCACCAUGCUGGAUGACCUGUAUAAUAAUACAGUUUUGAUUAAGAAAAUUCACAAUAUAAUUAGCAUUACGCAAAAAGGACAAGGAACAAAAUGUCACCUCUGCACUGGUGUUGCGAAGGCUUUCACGGAGGAAUUGUUUGAUUCCUUCGCCAUGGUUGGCAUGAAUCAAACCUAAAGCAUAGAGGGCACCACCUUCUGAAUAUGGACUGCCACCACCAACUGCACCAUUUUGAGGUAGGUACGGGGCCAUCAAAGCCCGACCUUGCUGAAGGUGGCCUCUAUGAAUGACACCCAGUCCAGCUGUCGCACUAAAUUUAGCCCACUUGGUUGCCUUGCUUAACCAUUCCUAAAAGACAAUACCAAAAUGAGACAUUACAGGGGCAAAAAAAAAACUCUGCAUGACAACAAAACAACCAGAUUUUUUUUUACCAGAUUUUCUCUUAAAAAGGUAUCUACAGUUGUUCCUGCAUGCAUGAUCGCAUUGGAACAAACAGUUGCACUAUGGCAAACAUUGCCACUCGUUUCCACAGCCUGCUUUAUUGUCUUCAGAAUUAGAAGAUCAGACCUACCAAACAAACAAACCCAUCAAGGUGAUGUCAGAUAUAGAAGUUGCAAGAGACCAGGGUUCAACGUUUAGGACAUAAUAAGUUUACCUGUUGUGGCUAUACAAAAAUUGCAGCGUAAGCUGAAUAGACUUCUCCCCUGACAGUAUCCCUUUAAGUUUUGCAAGCCUAUCAGCAUGCGCUGCCUCAUUUGGAUCCACUGGGUGAGCAUUUCUGUUUGAAGUAGUUGUGCCAUCUCCCAUCUGAACAUCACCCGCUGGUUCUGUGCUAGUUGUACGCGCGUUAACAGUCUGAUCAACCGGUAAAGCUGACUGGCCAGGAGUCUGUGAGUCCAGGCGAUUCCCCACAUUCAGAAGGAAGGCCUGAUUUUCAUUUUCCACUAGAUCAAAAGCAAUUUGGUAUGCAAUGAGAGCAUCAUCCUGCAUAAUGAACACAAUAUCUCAAGUAAGCAACAGAGACCACAAUGUAAGUAGUGGUGGGCAGAGUAAAGAACAAACAUAUACCUGGCUUCCAGAAAGUAGUGUGUCCAAUAUAUUCGCAACAGUUUCAUGCUCGCCCAGAACCAUAAGGCACUGGCAGAUGCUCAGAUAAUCUGGAUGCGGCAAAGUCUGGUAUAUUUUAACAAGACAGCGAAGAACCUGGCAAUAAAAUGAAUUAUUAGAUCAACACAUAAAGAAUGUUAAUUUUUGAUUAUUGUAAACUAAACUACUUGCUUUUUAACUUAAUAAACCAAUCAUACUGCCAAAUAAAUUUUAACAUAAAAAACUUAGGAUACCUCAGAACGAUAUUCACGGUGACUAACAUAUUGAUGAGAAAAGUUGAUGCAAUAUGAAAGAGCCCCGUGAAUAUUAGCACACUGAACAAUUGCUUCCUCCAGCUUAUCCAGUCUCCUGCAUUCAACAGCCAUACCCAUGGCCUGUUGGUAUUUCCCAUCAAGAAUACACCUGCAGCAAAGAGUAACAUUAGCUAAAUACUCCAUCUGAUAAAUAAGAGUAUAUGUGCAAACGGUAGGAUAUAUUAUCAUACCUCUCCAACAUCCUCUCCACUAUGGCCUCUAGUCUAGGAUCCACAUUCUCUUCUUCCUCCAUAGCUUUAGAAGCUCUUGUCUUGAAACUCGCAUAUUCAUCUAAUGCUUUGGCUGAAAGAAAAGAAGCACCAAUUCAACACAAUGAGCAAAAGAAAUUCAUGUGAAAUAACAUCCAGAAUGAUUGAGAAAUAAAGACAAGUCGUCACCUAAAAGAGCCAGAGCAUAAUCAGAAUCCUCAGAAACAUCAAACAGAGGUCCAGCACCAAGUGCAUACGACAGUGCAUCGUUUAACUCGCCCAGGUAGUAGAACACCUACAUGAUAAUGAUACGCAGCAGUCAUCAAUAUAAGCAAUGCAAAAUACGCCGCUUCUAGAAAAGGUAUAAAAUAACUUGAGAUCCUACCUUAGAAACAACUAGUGCAGCAAGCUGUCUCUGGUCAAAUUCGUCGUCUUCAUACAUGCUCUCGCUGCAGGCAAAAGGAUAUGAUGGAAACAAAUUAUUGAUUUGCUUCCUUGGAAAUUCAGACAAGGAAUUUAUAAUCUGAGCUUGGGUAACAAACAAUAGAUUGACUUCCCAAAACAUGUGUCAUCCUAAACUAUUGCAACUUUGCAAGUAACAGUUGAAUGGUCAGUCUGUCAAAGAUGUUUCUUAGCACAGGGCAGGCAUUACAACUGAACUGAUUAUAAGCAACCGAGCGAAUCGAACUCGUAAAACAACUUGCACCAAACUGAAAGUUGAAAGCUUUCUGAAUUGUCUCCCCUCCUCAGUUGACACCUCACUCCUACAACUGUCAGUUAUAUCUAUCAAAGUGCAAAGAGUUGAAAUUUUUACGACUGCUACCAAAUACAGUAGCAUCGUUUUGUGAAUUCGCUUCGAACUCUCACGGAGGGCACAUCCGCGCACUCGGACCGGACGAGGCCAACCAAACGAAUCGCGGGACGGAAGGGAAAUCCUCGUCAACCGGCCGGCAUCUAGGGCGGCGGCAACUAGGUAUCGCGGGGAGGAUACGGGAGGGGGGGAGGGGUCUCACAUGGCGGGGAUGCUGGUGGAGAUCUCCGGGUAGAAGAGGUGGACGACGGAGUUGAGGCUGGCGAGCGCGUGCAGCUUGAGCUCCUCCGCCGGCUCGUGGAGCAUGGCGAGGAUCCCGCCCGCCGAGCUCACCGUCGCUGUCGCCGCCAUGGCCGCGUCGGCGAAGAGGUUGGUGUGCGCGAUGGUCUGUGGUUCGGUUCGGUGCGGGGCGUGUCGUGAGUUGGAGGAUGAGCACGCGAGACCUGGUACGCCGUCGUUGGGUUGCGGGCGAAUAUAAGGGCAGGACGGCGCGAUGGGUCGGUCGACUCGACUAGGGAGUCGGGCGACCAGUCCGACGCCAAAUCCUUCUGCGCUCCGUAACGAAACGGGCCGGCCCACUUAGCAGUGGUAUAGGAGUGGUCUGGCCGGUUUCUUUUGUGUGUUUUCUGUCCGUUUUCUGCUGGCGUUUGUUCAUUUUUUAACUUUUCUGUUUUCUAUUUAUUUUUCUUCAUCUUAAUUUUCGUGAAUUUUUAUUUUUAAAAUUCGUGAUUUUUUAUAUUCACAAAUUUUGACCAAAUUAGUGAACCUUUUCCAAAUUAUCUAAUCUUUUACCAAAUUUUACAAUUUUUCUGUAAUUCGUGACUUUUUCAAAUUUUGUUUUUUUAAGUAAAAAAUUCCAAAUUCAUGAACUCUUAUCCAAAUUCAUUAAAUGUUUUAAAUUCUUGCUAUUUUUCAAAUUCAUGAACUUUUUCAAUUUUGUGAAGUUUUUUCAAAACCCGUGAACAAUUUUUUUGAAUUAUAUGCUUUUUGAAAUCACAUGAACUUUCUCGAAAAGGAAAAUGGUUAACAGUCUAAGUCAAAGGUCAACUUAUCGGAAAGUGAACCAAUCAAACCAUCAACCCUCUCAGCCACUCGCUCACCCGUGCCAUGUGGUGAGCACCACUUUGUUGGGACGGCCCACAAGCCCUCUCACGUGAGCAUCAUUUGCAUAACAAGGGCAGCAGGUUCUGAGGAGGAGGUCUAUAGUCCUACUAUGUUUGUUGACUUCAUUCGCGAUCAGGCGGAAGAGUCAGUUUUCGUCCGCACCUGGCUGAAGAUGACGUUUUCGUCCAAGCAUGGGCCAAAGAUGGACUCUUUGUUGCGGCUCUGGGCGAAAAUCAUCUCUUUAGUCAAUGUUAGACCGAAGAGGGCUUCUAGGUCCACCUCUUCACGUAAACUGCCAACAAAGUUGCAUGUCGUUCUUAGGGCGGACGAAAAGUUGCUCUAGAGAAACAAUUCGAGGUUUCACGGAAAAUCAAGGGGACAAUGUCCUAGUGCCGACAUUGGGGACGAGUUUUGAUACUUUGGGAGAAGCCUACGACUUUUACAACCUGUACUCUUGGGAGAAGGGAUUCGGCAUUAGGUAUGGAAAGAUUUGACUAGGCCUCCUUUGGCUUGGAGGAAUUUUAGAGGACAGGAUUCUUAUAGUUUAUUUUUUUUCUUUAGAGCCCUUUGGUUCAUAGGAAUGGAUUCCUAUUCCUACAUAGGAUUGCUUCCUAUCCUCCACAUUUCAUAGGAAAAUAAAAAUGAGCCUAGACUCAAUGGAAAAAUUCCUUUGGUGUCAACCAAAUGGCAUCUCGUUUUCUAUUCCUACCCAUAGGAUUUGAGAUACAUGUCAUCUCAUUUCCUACAAAAUUCUUAUCCCUAAGAUAAUCAUAUCCUAUGAACCAAAAGAGACCUAAAUGUUGAGAAGACGAAGCGCAUGCAAGAAGUUGUUUGUGGGUGUGCGGUGAGUACAUCUUACUAUAAUGUAUGAUGUGUUUGCACAAAAAACUGGACAGAAAAAUGAAAUGUAAAUAUUUCGCUAACGUUUGAAUGUGGUGUUCUUGUUCAUGGUAAGGCGGGGUGGAGAACACAAGGUCUUGCCGUUGUGAGUGCCCUACACUGAUAAGAUUGUUGAGAUCAAAGGACAAUGGCUGGUACAUAGCAGAGCACCAUGAGCAGCACACUCGUUUGUUGUCCCCGACGUAUGGGCAGACAAUACACUGGCCGUCUGCCCAUCACACAAGCAUAUAAAUGUCUACAACCGGGAUUUGGUGAAGAAGCUUCGGCAGCAAUGUCAACCUUGCAAAGGUGUACAACAUUAUUGGUAGCUUCUUUGGAUCCAUGGAAAAGGUCCUUUCACAAAGAGGGCGUUGAAGAAUCUGUGUGGUAAGAUAAACCAUGAGCAGGCAGAGGAUGAUGUAAGGAAAACAAUGGAAGUUUUUGCCGAGCUUUUUGCGAGAGAUCCACACUUGCACCCUUCACCAUGUGCAAGCUGACAAGGGCAGUAGGGUCACAUCGUUGAUGUGGGCAAAUAGAAGUAGUAGAAAGCAGUACACCUUCUUCGACAAUGUUGUUAUGUUUGACAUGACUUACAACACAAACCUCUAUAAUACGCCCUUUGGGCUUUUCGUCAGAGUUAACAACCAUUUUCAAAGCAUAAUACUCGCGGGAGUGCUAGUCCGUGACAAGAUGGUGGAGACAUUUGAGUGGGCUAUCUCUGAGAUCGUUAGGAUGAUGGGAGGCAAUGCGCCAAAACAAUUUUGACAGGUACAAGUUUAUGCACAUGAUAGUGCUAAUUGCAAUCGGAUGAGGUUAGCACGCACACACACACACAGAGAGAGAGAGAGAGAGGGAGAGAGAGAGAGAGAGAGAGAUAGAUAGAUAGAUAGAUAGAUAGAGAGAUGGCAGUCGUUUCGAGGAAGAAGAAAGCCUCGAUGUUAUCCCGAAACUCUUCGUUUGGGAGUGGAACGAAGAAUUCAUCUUUGUUUUUUCACGGGUAGAAUUCAUCUUUGGUGCUGCCGCGGACGAAGACCGUCUCUUUGGCCCAACAGGCCAUGAGGAUACCUCUUCGGUCGAGGAAAGAGUCUUUUCGGUCCACGAGGGAACGAAGAGUGAUCUUCAGUCAUGGCAUGACCCAUGAGGUUUAAUAUAAAAAAGUCCAAAGACAAAUUUGCUAUGGAAACAUCAUACCCUAGAGUUUUUAUGGGAGGAUGAGCCCCAGACUUCAUGGUUGAAUGCCUUUCAAACGAUGUAACUAUAUUACCUAUGCAAUAAGGUAUCCAUGAUGGCAUUCCCCCAAAAAAGAUAUAAUAAAUUAUACACUCUCGAAACUUCCACGUUCCAUCAAGAUAUUUAUCAGACCAUAUGUAUUUCUAACAAUAUAUGCAUGAAUAAUAAGACAAGCGCGAACAUAUACGUAUACCUAUGAUACAUCAAAGUGUCAUAAAAUUGGUCAAUGGAGGGCGUAAUUUCGUUUAGUUUGUAUCUUUAUGUGGUCUAGGUGGAGCUCCCAUAUUGCCUAAGUUUUGUACGAGGAAAUAUCUCGAGGGUAAAAAUUAACAUGACUUUCCUUUUAGAAUAUUAUUUAAGCCUAGUGUACAAUAACAUCAUAGUUGAAUAUUCAAUUGUUGUAUUUGAAUAUUUAAAUGUACAAUUAUAUUUUUAAUUUGGUUAAAGAUAAUAGAAAUAUACCAUUUAAGACCAUGCUUAGGUGCAUUUAGUUAUAAAGUAGUAAAAAAUGUUCACCUCGGUGUGGGUGCAUGGCGGUUGCGGAGAUGAUGUACGCCGGCGGCUAAAGGUGCGGCCGGAUAUAAAGGAUAACGCAGGCUUGCGGACGAUGAGCACGUGACCAGACGAGGUACGCCAGCGUUGUGGGCGAAUAUAAAAGGGGGGACGACGCGAUGGGUCGGUCGACUAGGAUAGGGAGUCGACCAGUCCGACGCCAAAUCCUAUUCUGCGCUCCAUAACGAAACGGGCCGGCCCACUUAGCACUGGUAGUGCGGUUUUCCUAUUAUGGUGCCGGUUUCUUUUGUUUGUUUUCUGUCCGUUUUCUGCUGGCAUUUGUUCAUUUUUUUAACUUUUCCGUUUUCUAUUUAUUUCCUUUUUAUUUUUCUUCAUUUUAAUUUUAGUGAACUUUUCUUUUUAAAGUUUGUGAUUUUUUUAGAUUCACAAAUUUUGACCAAAUUCGUCAACUUUUUCCAAAUUAUCUAAUCUUUUACCCAAUUUUGCAUUUUUUUCUGAAAUUCGUGGCUUUUUCAAAUCCAUGAAUUUUUUCAAAUUUUGUUUUGAAGUAAAAAAAACUAAAUUCUUGAACUUUUUUUAAAUUCAUGAACUCUUAUCCAAAUUCAUUAAAUGUUUUAAAUUUUUGCAUAUUUUUCAAAUUCAUGAACUUUUUCAAUUUUGUGAAGUUUUCUCGAAACCCGUGAACAUUUUUUGAGUUCUAUACUUUUUGAAAUCACAUGAACUUUCUCGAAAAAGAAAAUGGUCAACAAUCUAAGUCAAAGGUCAACUUAUCAAAAAGUGAACCAGUCAAACCAUCAACCCGCUCAGCCACUCGCUCACCCGUGCCAUGUGGUGAGCAUCAGUUUGUUGGGCCGGCCCACAAGCCCUCUCACGCGAGCAUCGUUUGCUUAAACAGGGCAGCAUGUGCUGAGGAGGAGGUCUAUAGUCCUACUGCGUUUGUUGACUUCAUUCGCGAUCAGGCGGAAGAGUCGAUUUUUGUCUGCACGUGGCUAAAGAUGACGUUUUCGUCCAAGCAUGGCCAAAGAUGGGCUCUUUGUUGUGGCUCCGGGUGAAAAUCAUCUCUUCAGUCAAUGUUAGACCAAAGAGGGCUUCUAGAUCCACCUCUUCACGUAAACUGCCAACAAAGUUGCAUAUCGUUUUUAGGGUGGACGAAAAGUUGCUCUUUGUUUUGUUGUGGAUGAAUUUUUUUUUUCUGAUUGCCCUCAUCAUUCCCUCUCACGCCCUUUUCCUUCCCGCCCUUUCCCUUCCCGACAUCCCUCCCCCGCCCUUUUCCUUCCCGCCAUCACCUCUCUUGUGCUUUUUCUUUCCGACAUCUCACUCCUCCUCCUUUGUUCCUUUCCACUCGUUCUCUUGCCUCGCUCAUUCUAUUAAACUCCUCCCCUACUUGUUGAUUAUGAAUGUCCCAAACUUGUCCUCCAUCGUCCUCUGAUUAGCCUUCCCUCACCUUCAUCUUCUUCAAAAUUACCAGAAUCUAUAUCACCCGCUAAUCUAUCAUCAUCCUUCUCUUCCAUCACCCUGUGCAUUUCCUUCCCUUUCACAUUCCCAUUAGACAAACCACUACCACCAAUUACUACUGAUUGACUGCUCAACCCUACUUCAUGACCAAUGAAAAUGUGUAACACAUAAUUUGACUCUACAUCGGGAUGGCUAACAUCCACUGGUUGUGACCCAGGUGGAUCAAUGUCAUUAUAAUUAGACGACUGGCUACCUUGGUCGGGUUCAUAGCAUAUACCCCAUCGCCAUCCAACAAACUCUCCUACUUCCAUCAAGAUAUUUAUCAGACCAUAUGUAUUUCUAACAAUAUAUGCAUGAAUAAUAAGACAAGCACGAACAUAUACAUAUACCUAUGAUACAUCAAAGUGUCAUAAAAUUGGUCAAUGGAGGGCGUAAUUUUGUUUAGUUUGCAUCUUUAUGUGGUCUAGGUGGAGCUCCCAUAUUGCCUAAGUUCUGUACGAGGAAAUAUCUCGAGAGUAAAAAUUAACAUGACUUUCCUUUUAAGAUAUCAUUUAAGCCUAGUGUACAAUAACAUCAUAGUUGAAUAUUCAAUUGUUGUAUUUGAAUAUUUAAAUGUAUAAUUAUAUUUUUAAUUUGGAUAAAGAUAAUAGAAAUAUACUAUACCAUUUAAGACCAUGCUUAGGUGCAUUUAUUUAGUUAUAAAGUAGUAAAAAAUGUUCAGCUCGGUGCGGGGGUGUGGCGUCGCGAGUUCGGUUGCGGACGAUGAGCACGGUUGCGGAGGAUGUACACCGAUAUCGGAAGGUGCGGGCGAAUAUAAAGGACGGCGUGAUGGUCGACUAGGAUAGAGAGUCAGACUAGUCCGACGCCAAAUCGCGCUCGGGGCGCAGACACCCCCGACCGAAACGGGCCAACCCACUUCGUACUGUACCGGUAUGCGGUUUCUAGUUUUUUUUUGUGGCCGGUUCUUUUGUGUUUUUUUUCUGUCUCUUUUUUGCUGGUUUUUGUUAUUUUUUUUCUUUCAAGUUUUGUCUUCAUUUUUCCUUCAUUAUUCAUUUUUAUUUUCAUGAAAAUUUCUUUUACAUAUUCAUGAUUUAUUUUAAAUUUGCAAAUUUUGUCCAAAUUUGUGAAAAAACAAAUAUCUUUUUCCGAAUUUCAAUGUUUUCAAAUUCAUGAAUAUUUUCCCAAAUUCACAAAAAAAAAUCAAAUUCAUGAUUUUUUCCAAAUUAACAGUUUUCCCUAAAUUUCCUGAACUUUUCAAAUGUGUUAACUUUUUAAAAACCCAUGAAUGUUUUUUCCGAAUGCUGCAAUUUUUAAGAUCACAUGAACUUUUCAAAAAAAGUCAAUGGUCAAGGGUCUAAGUCAAUGGCCAAUCUGCCAAAAGGUGGACCAAUCAAACCAUCAACCCGCUUAGCCACUCGCUCACCCGUGCGUGUGGUGACCACAGGUUUGUUUGGCCAGCCCACAACGCUCUCUUGUGUGAGCACCGUUUGCUUAAUUGGUGCACAAGCGCUACGAAGGAGGUCUCUAGUUUGAAUGUGUUUGUCAACUUCAUUCGCGGACAGGCCGAAGAGCCAGUUUUUGUCCGCACCUUGGUCAAAGAGGACAUUUUCGUCCACAUAUGGGCCAAAGACGGGCUCUUCUUUGCGGCUCCGGACGAAAAUCAUCUCUUCAGUCAUUGUUAGAUUGAAGAGGGCUUCUAGGCCCAUCUCUUCGCGUAAACUUCCUAACGAAGUUGCAUGCCAUUCUUAGGGCGAACAAGAGUUGCUCUUCCUUUCUAUUGAGGAAGAAGUCUUUUUUUAUUGCCCUUCAUCAUUCCCUCUCACGUCCUUUUCCUUCCCACCAUCCAUCUCCCGCUCUUUCCCUUCUCGUCAUCCCUCUUCUACCCAUUCCCUUCCAGCCGUCAUCUCUCACACGCCUUUUCUUCUCUACAUCUCACUCAUCCUCCCAUGUUCCUUCCCACCCUCUUGCCUCGCUCAUUCUAUUAACCCCCCCCCCCACUUGCUGUCUCUGAACGUCCCAAACUUAUCAUCCAUUGUCCUCUGCUUAGCCUUCACAUAACGAAUUUCAUAGUUAUAUGUUGCUUUCACCGCAUUUUGGUGUGCUUCGCUUCCAUGUCUUUCUUCUCCACUAUCUCAUUUAUACAUGAGUUUUUUAUGAGAGUUGAAUUCAGGUUGGGAUGAUCAACUAGAAUGUUUUUCCUCACAUAAUUAUAUGGAACAAUAUUAGUGACAACCCAGUGCAUGUUUCACUUGGGCAUGUGGUCGUGCACCUUGUCGAGAACCAUUUUAAGCACAUUUCAAAGUUAUAAGUUUGUUUGACUUGAUAUGUGUGUGUGAAAACCCUAUGCACCGACAUAGCCCGCUCCAUUAUGUCACUUCAUUCUUCAGUUGUUUCUUUAUGGCAUAAAUAGCGAAAACUCAAAACGGUGCCCGGGCUCAUCUGCUCCCUCUCAGCAAAAAAAAACAAAAAAAAAUAAUAGAAAUUUUUUAAAAAUUCCAAAAAAAAUUUGGUGGUAGAUAAUUUGACGCGUGAGGUGCGCCCCAAAAUUCAACUUAUUUGGACAUCUGAGCAGCUCCCGGCAAAAAAGACAAAUCGGGUCAAAACAGUGCGUGAACAGUGAACAUUUUUACAGACCCUGAUUUUGUCUUUUUUGCCGAGAGCUGCUUAGAUGCUCAAAUGAGAUGAAUUUUGGGGCGCACCUCACGCGUCAAAUUAUCUACCACCAUAAAAAAAUUGGAAUUUUUUGAAUUUUUCUAGUAUUUUUUUAAAUUUUUUUCUAAGCGUAGGUGCAGAUGAGCCCGGGUGCAGAUUAGCCGCACUCCAUAAAUAGCACCUAUUUUGGACCUGGUUCUAAUGAUAUUCCCAUGCAGACUCAUGGACUCCCAUCGAUUCAUGGUCAGGCCGGUUGAGAGGCCCUGAUUCCAUGCAUAAGGAAUCGACACCUCCUACUUGUCGUCAUCCUCACUCACCUUCAUCUUCUUAAAAAAUAUCAGAAUCUAGAUCAUCCGCCAAUCCAUUCUCAUCCGCCAAUCCAUUGUCAUCCUUCUCUUCCAUCAUCCUUUGCAUUUUCUCCCCUUCCCCGUCCACAUUAGCCAAACCACUAGCAGCAAUAUUAGCCAAACCACUAGCAACAAUUACAGAUGACUGACUCCUCAACCCUGUUUCACGACAAACGACGACGUGUGGCAUGUAAUUUUACUAUUCAUCGGUUGUGACCCAGGUGGCUGAAUCUCAUUAGCCGACUGACUACCCUGGUUGGGUUCAUACACCCGGCCGCCUUCCAAUAAAUUCUCCUCCUUCGGCACAGUGAAUCAUCCGUUUUCUGCAACGCCUUAACCAGGUCAACCACUUAGGCUGGUCAUAGUGAGAAGUAACUUAGACUAGUAACAUGCAUAUGUUACUACCUCUAUAGUGCAUAUUAUCAUAGAUUAGUAUCAUAGAUGGUUUCAUUUAUUGCUAUGCAUGACACAUAGUAGCAUCACAUUUAUUAUGUUACGGUAUCUACCUAUGUUACUAUAACCAUCUUUCUCUUCUUUAAUUGCCUGCCACAUAAGCAUGUUUGCGAGUUCCAAGUGCAUGAUACUACUUAUGUUACCCCCACUAUGGUCAGCCUUAGGCUGGUCAUAGUGAGAAUAACAUAAGUCGUAACAUACAUGCCACAUAAGCAAAAAAGAUGAUGUGUCAGGUAAUUAAUGAAGAGAGAGGCAAAUAGAGUAACAUAAUAUGUUACCAUCACAUAGCGGUUUCCAAUGCAAAACGAGUCUACAAAGUAAUAAAUGAGGUGAUGCAUGACACACAUAUGUUACUACCCACUAUAGAGGUAGUAACAUAGACUAGUAACAUAUGCAUGUUACUAGUCUAAGUUACUCCUAUCUAUCAUGUUCAACUCCCACAAAACAUUUUUACCAGAUUUGGUCCAUACUGCAUAAAUACUAACGGAGCACUCGUUGGGAUCAGACCCAAGACUUGUUGUCAACCAGUAUUUCAACUUGUUGCCAUAGUAAACAGUGCAAUCCACGGACUCAGACAUGCCACCUGCCAUACAACUCCAUAUUUGCCAUUAAACACAUUGAACAAAUAGUCACUCCUAACAAUGGUAACCAACAGGGGUGCCCCUCGAGCAGCAACUGCAAUGACAUCCUUCCUCCCAACGGUGGCCCAAACCCUCCCCAGACUGUGCCCUCCCCUCUGGACACAGGCGAGGAAAGAAGACCUCGCAGCACGUAUUCUGCCAAUGCCUCCCAGCCUCCACGACACCAGCAAAGGCCUCCCUCCCCGUGCUUGACCCAAUCUAAAUCGGUAACAGCCGGCCAAAUCGAUACCCUGGGAGCUUAGUGAAUUUAGAGAUUCAUCUGCUGUUGAGUACACAACAAUUACCUCGCGAUAUGGAUGAACAAGACAAUCACAUCCCUGGAUCUGUAGAAAGAAGGGCUUCAUCUAGGCAGCAAAUGAGGUUUCGACAAGCAAUGAUCAAGUUCAGACUCCAUUUGUUUGCAAGAGCAGCGCGAGCCGAAAUUGCACCAUAAUACUCAGUGGUACUCUUCCAGCCGUCCAUCUCACACGCACAGACACAUUGUUCACAUCGAUAAUAACAAGACUAACAACGGAAUCGCCAAUCAAUCAAUAAAAUAGAGUCAAUUAAAACACAAGGAAAAUGACAAGUAGCCAAGAGCUAUAGGAGGAACCUGAUGGUGGAGACCACAACAUACUAGUACAAGUUCCCACAUAAGAGGUUCCGAGCAACUAUAUCAAAGAAAUGCUUUAUUAUUAUUCCACGGUUUGUCAACUUCGGAGGCUACAAGAACAGCAGGCGUAAUGUGUCGUCAAACAAAAUAAGACCCCAGAACAGGGAGCAAUCUAGAAUCAUAUAAGAAACCGACCAACAACUGACAAAUAUAGCUGCUCCAGGGCAUACCCCCCCUUCCUACAUGAUGUCAACACUCUAGGCUGCAAAACUUAAGACAGGGACAAUCAUUUUGCCUUUAUUCUCUUCGUACGGAGGAGUUAAACUCCUCCUUUA